rnacentral:lncRNA from 1 species
ACCGGGUGACUAUGAAACAAAGUAAAGAAUCUGAAUUUCAAUUUCUGUAAUUAGGAAGAUGAGCAACUACCAUGAAAGAUGAUAUAAAAUUUUGAAAAGUUGGCAGGUAAAGUAGGCCCUGUUGGAUCAACUAUUAAAAUGAAAUAGUGGCCGUCCUAGACUAGCCUAACCCCUAAAGAAUAUUGAUCUCACUAGUACUCUUUAGGAGUAGUUGCAAUGUUUAUUGGCUACGAAUAAAGGCGCAUAGUUCGGCUGAGCACAGGUCAGUGAUGAAUUUGGUUUUGGGUUUCAGAAUUUUCUUUGGAUCAAUUUGGCAGCACAAAUGGCGAAAAAGUAAAAUCUGAUGACGAAAUUGCCGCAACUUGUAGCAUAUGACCUGUCCCAGACACACCCACUUUCCUUGUAUGUACCUCUGGACCUUUGCCUGUUUAUCCGCGAUUCCACCUCCCCAAUGAACACGAACUCCCGAAUCCAGAGCGGAGAGAGCAGAGUAACCGGCAGGACGAUGCAAUACGUUUUAAUUCUAUAUUUCUACUGCACGGUGCAGGGCACGGAUCAUCGAAAACCAUGUAAAAUCUGACCUUUGCUCGGCUAGAAAUUUCCAAUUUCGCGCGGCAAGCAAGAAAGGUCAAGAACAUCUAGCUCGCUAGCAGGCAAGCAAGUGGGGAUGGGGGAAGCAAGCGUACGUACGGGAGCCGGUGGAUUCCCAGAGGAUGGCCUCGCUCUGCUCGUAGUCGGGCUCCUUGACGACGUGCAGCACCAGCACCUGGUCACCGGCGCGCAGCAGGUUGUCCGCCGCCCACCGCAGCGCGGCGCGGCUCCCCCCGGAGAAGUCCGUCGCCAGGCCCACCCACCUCUCUCCCCCAGCGCCGGCCAUCUCCUCACUCCUCGUCCCUCUCCUACAGCUUCUUGGUUUGUUGUGCGGCGGCGGGCUGCGUGAGGACUAAAAGGAGACUGCUCGGGCAGGACGCGGUGGCGACUGGCGAGGUGGAGGUCACUGCUUGGGCUGCCAAAGGCGGUGGCGGUGGGGGCCCCUGUCACACUGUGUCUCUGUCAGGUGAGGACUCGAGGCCUAUUUGAUGAUUGAUGGGCAAAGGACACUUGUGGCCGAAAGAUGCCGUGACACCAUCCAUCCAUCAACAUGUGCAUGUGUCAUCGUCAAUGAUGCAUUUGCAGCUUUGUUUGUGCUGUUUUGUCUAAUGGUCAAUUCUAAGUAUUUCGCUUUGGGUUUGGCUCCUUUACCUCGAACGUUCUUUGGCUAUUACUUGAUAUUAUUUAUUUUUAUUUGGUCUUGAAGGUAUAACGUUGAUCUUUACUUUUGAUCAUACGCAGCUGUAAUAUCUAAAAACAUAUAAGAAUACAAAAAUAUUCUCAAGGCAAAUCUACGGUGAUAAUUUUUGUAUCUUCAGGCUAGAUAUUUCAGAAGUUAUUGACGAUCAAGGUCUCAAAAGCCUGAUUAAAUUUUGGUCAAAAUGGUAGGUAUGUGUGACGGUGGGAGUCGUAACGAUGGAGAUAUUUUGAUGUGCCUGUGCCAAUGGUAUUGGUUGCCAACUUGGCAUAUUUGAUGAGCUUUUACUGAUACCCUUAUACAUUUGAAAUAAAAGGCAAGAGGUCAUUUCCAUUAGACAACAAUAUACAUGUCGUCCCACUUGAAAGGUCAUCAUCAGCAGUUUAAUUCGCAGACCGUGUCUGGAAAACAAAACAAUGGUCAAAGCAGCUUGUUUUCACAAGGACAAAUUCAGCCGCGCGCAUAAAGCUGUCGAACUCAUACUAUUUCUAUAUUUAUUUACAAGGACAAAAGGAAACAAGAGAUGUUUGCAGCACCACGGCACUCAAGAUUCCACAGAAACGAGCGACCAUCAGCCAUGACGGGGAUUCCUGGUCCAAUUAUCACCAAAUUGACCUCAUACAGGCGUCCAACACGGGCGUCUCUAAUCAGCGCGCCCGCCAGGAGGGCCGCCAGCGCUCGAUCCCCGACAGACCACGACUUUCUUUUUUUUUUUGGAAAGUUUAAAAUCCCGUAAUUUUUUAUUUUCAAAAUAUCAUAACUUAUACACGUAACUUUAAUGCAUAACUUCACGAUAUAACUUUUAUGAGAUAAUUUUUUAGCACAAUUUCAAUAGCGUGCAGAACUCAUGUGUAUAACUUCUAAGUACAAUUUGUAAGAAUAACUUCGAAUUUAUUUUUUUAGAAAGUUGUAACCUAUACGAAUAAUUUGUACGUGAUAAAUUUCAUAAUACAUUAUGAUAUAUAUAACUUAUACGCGUAACAUUUAUGAUAACUUUUGAGAGAAUGUUGUUAAAAAAAUUUAUGCACACCACUUGUACGUAUAUACAAAUAUUUACGUGGUAUAUAAAAAAUUGAAAAAUAAAAAAGGAAAAAACACGGGGCCGCGUGGGACCCACCGGGUGCUUGCGCCGCGAAGCGCUGCAGCGCGCGCGUCUAAUUAACAUUGCGGUCGAACACGCCGCAUUCUUUUCUUCACUUUCUGGAUGGUAAAUUGGUAUUAGACUUAAAAACUAGGUUCAAAAGGUAUCCAUCUACUUCCUAUUGUCAAUCUACUCCCUCUGUCCCAAAAUAAGGACACUUUUAGAGUUUGGAUGAAGAGAUUGAUGUUAGUGAAAAAUUACAUAUAUACCCUGUAAAGUUAUAAUCAUUGCACCGAGAAAGUAGAAAAAACAAUUAGAGUUGCGUGGUCCCAUUCCUAGAUGCGCACUUAUUUUGGACAAAUUUUGAACUCUAGAAAUGCACUUAUUAUGGGACAGAGGGAGAACUCAUUUCAUGCUUGAAAGGGCUGGAUAACCCUUCACGGGACCUACUAAUGACAGGGCAUCUUGUAAUGCCUCCAACAGAUGAUCUGGAUGAUCCUCGAUGUGCACACGACCAAACUGUGCUGGUAUUUUGCGUAGAGUUCUUCCAAUGAUCUGCAAUACAGAAGGAAAAAAAACUAUGAGGAAAGCACAUGUGAGAACCAUGGGCUCAUUAAUAACUAGAUUAAUCUUAAAAGCCUUGUAACUACUUUUGUUUCAGUAAGGGUCAAGCUUAAAAGACAUGUCACCAGUUCCAUUUCAGUAAGGAUCAAGCUUAAAAAGCCAUGUCACUAGUUCAAACCUUGCGAGCAUAGCCGCCAUAAGCAAUCCCUCCGAUCAAAGCUUGUUGAGAACUGAUUGUUUCAGAGGUUGUUGUCCCUGAAUUCAAUUAGAUAAAGAGGUUGCUCAAAAGGACAUUUUCUUCCCACGAAAGAUAAGUUCAGUAAGCAACUGGAGCUACAUAUUGAGUUCUUUAUUCUGUACUACCAAUUCAACAAAGAAAAGUCAUGUAAGGAACAACUUACCAGGAAAAGUCAUGGACUGGAAAAGACCAGCUUUCUUUAAGCAAUCAAUAGUGUAUGAGUUGGUGCCACCGGCCAGCUGAUAGAAGCCUUCAAAACCAUAGAAACAGCAGAUACUUGACAACUGUAGGGGGAAGAGAGCCACAUAAGGCAGAAAAUUAUUCCAGUGGUUUGCUUUGUUUACCAGGUGGUCUUUCUGGCACUGAAGCCAUAUGAAUAGCAAAAGAAACUGUUUCCCUUGUUGCACCACGACCAAUGUCACCACUCAUGGGUCGGCCAUCCAACUGAUCACAAAAAAAGUAUUUUUUAAAAGAAAAUCCCCGAAGAAACUUCAAUAUGUUUAGACCAAAAGUAGUACCAUAAAUCAUAUGCAUAACCAAGUUCCUACCACAAUCAAGAGGAUUAACAAAGUGAUACUAGCAUUUACAGAAAAUCUUACUAAAGCAAAAAAAAAAUCUUGACAGUUAUCGUGUAUUGUAAAAAAAAGUACGAAACUGUUAAUGGAACAUGAACAAGGCCUAUAUUUGACAGUAUACCCUCCAUAUUAGAAAGUGGCAAUUGAAUGGUUUAUUUUCUUGUGAACUAACCUGCCAAAGAUUAUACCCUUGAAGAUGAGGCUCCAUUAUUGCGUAUAGCACAUUCAUGAAAUCAACAGUUGAUUCACCAAUAUCAGGCAGGCUAACCUAAAAAGGUUAAAUUUGAGCAUCAAUCAUUGCGGAAGAAUGAAGGAAUUUCUUCUAAAUGCAAAGGAACAUGGAGAUAUUUUCAGCAUCAGAACUAGUGUAUGCAUCAGAAAACUAAGAGCGCAACUUACUGCUACCAGCUUCACAUUAUUGAUUGACUCACUAAAGCUGUUCCAGAGGGCAUCGAAUGUAUCAGUUCCCCUACAGUGAUGGAAUAUAUCAGAUCCUAAGUGACGCCAAUACCGAAAAAGGUAAACAUUAGUUAAUCCACUAUCUCAAAGAAAGGGAAACAUACUUUCCAGUGGUAUGUAUCUCUAUUGCAUCAACAUCAUUCCUUUUCAACAGUUCAGAAGUGGUAAUCGGAUCUCGAACAUAGGACACAGCUCCUGAAAUGAUUUCAGGCAAAGCUUGCAUCAUCUAUCACAAGGGUGCAGGAGGGAUCAGAUUCAAAAAUACAGUGAAGUUUGACAUAUGCAAGUUAUGAAGGCAAUUUGCACAAAGGUAUAGCUAACCUAGUCUGGCGAUGAUAAAAGAACUUGGAUGGAAGAUAAAUGGUGCUCACUUAUUCUGUCAUAAGGGCAAACUGGUAAGCAUCGUCCACAUCCAUAGCACCGCUCUGUAAGAACACCACCCUGCACAAGGCAGAACUCAUGUAAAAAAACUGAAGCUCGUGAAGAGAAUCAACAUGAGCAGAAGAAAAUAACCAAACCAAUUGAUACCUUAAGUUUACCAUGUAAGGGAUCAGAUCGAGUGUGCUCUCCUCCAACCAUGAUGCUCUCAAGUGAAAUUGCAUCAGCAGGACAAACUUUCUCACAUGGCUUUGAGCAAUCCGGUGGGCAAUCCUCAGGAUCAAAUUCUGUAGGAUAGACAAGUUUAUUCAGAUGCGAAAAAAGUUUCAGUAGUUAACAGGUCUAAACUAAAUACAGGGAAAAUAAUGCUAGUGAAAGCAGGAAACUAAUUGCAAUUCCCAAAUGACAGCAAUCAAAUCGACACCAAAAGAAAAAAAAUUGAAGUGACAUGAAUGAUAUUUCAAUAGAUAAUUUUCACUGCAGCAUGUCAUUACCAGCUUUACGGAAAUGAAGGUCCCUGCAAUCAUCGUUAACACUAACCAUCACCCAUGGCCUUUGAACUGCUGGUAUGAUUGAGGCUGCUACGUCAAUACCCUCAUUUACUGCACCCACCACAGAUGCAUCUGCUGCACAAUCAAUGCAAUCCACUGCAUCCACAAAACUAUGCAUGAUUCGUAAGAGUACACAAUCAGAUUUUGUUUGUUAAAAUGGUGAAAUCACUGGAGUGCACUUUAAAGAAAAUCAUUUACCUAGCAGAAUAUGCUUCCAACACAACAAUUUGUUGGUCAUCUAACCACUAUCAAAUCAGACUUUGUUAGCACAUUCAAUUUUUCAUUUUGUUUGUGGUUGUUCAAUAUAAGGUCAAACUACAAUACAAGUAAUUCAAAUCUGAAUUCUUGACAGACUGAAAGUAGAAGAAAAAAAACUGAGUAACAAUGAAAUUGUCACGGUGUCAAUCUAAAAUGCUAUUUGCUACAUAUCCACUCUAAAUGGAUGUUUUCAUCAGUUGAAUCAACAUACGUACCUCCAGCAAGCGUGUAGACAAGGGAGAGGUUCCUGACAUCAGCAGCAUCCUGCAUAAGCAAUGCACGUGUAAGCAACCUGAGAAUCAUAUUGCCGUCAGUCAGUAAUUCUUCUCCCGUUUUACAUAUACAUUGCCGCCACUGCUGCUCUCGUUGUGCUAGCACACCAAAUUAGUGUCCCUGGACCUGGAGGCACCAAAGGUACCAACUACAGCCGUGAGUCGGCUUCCACAGGUGCAACCCAAUUCAAUUCUCCAUUUUUCCUUUUAAGCUUAAGCCAAAACCAGCACAACUGCACAAGCGCAGGACCCUUCCCCCCCUGCCUUUCACCACCUGUUGGAGAUGAAGCAUUCGCUGCUCUACCAGUCCAUUCCACCCAACUGUGCAUACGCACUCACUAGUCCCGGAGCUCAAUCUAGCUAGGGGUGCAGCAGCGAGGUGGAAAGCGCACGGUACCUCGAAGCUGGCGCCGCAGAUGAGCUUGACCCAGUCGCCGCGCCGGAGGGCCGCGACCUGCGGCGGGUGGUCGCCAGCGAGGCGGGCGCCGCGGAAGCGGGAAACGUCGGACGCCGUGGCCCGGACGGCCGCGUGGGAGGCGAGGAGAGGCGGCGGCGGGGCCGGGACGGCGGCCAUGGCUAUGGCUUCUUCUCGCGCGGCCACAGCGGCGGUGUGGAAGAAGGAAGUGGGAAUGGGAAAUAUCCGGUUCCCCAAGUCCGUUCCGUUCCCGUGGGUGCAGAAACGGUCCACGUCCGUCCAUCUGAGAUCAACGGUGGGUGCCUAGCUUAGCCGUGAUUCUGAGGCCGUUCGAGACUCGAGUUAUCUGAGUGGGCUCUAGUGGGCCACAGACCGCGGGGAACCCAUCACGCCGUCAGCCCACCACAGUCUUUGGACCUGUUUAGCCGAGGGCACUGAGCCCACAGUACGGCACUCGUUCAGGCAUGCAUGUGCGUUGAACCCCCAAAUCAUGGAUGUUUACAUGUGCUAGAUUGGGCUAACCAAUUCACGCGUACGGUACGGGACCGGGGAAACCACACAGCUACUGUAGAUCAAAUCCAAGACUUCAGCACAAACUCAGCAAGUCAAUUUCGACUCACUUCCUACCUAAAACCUAAUUCAACAAACGCCGCCUUCAUGCAUGUGAGACGACCUCUGUUCUAGCCAGCCUUCAAGCAGGGUAGACUUAAUCUGCUAUCUACUUUAGUAGACGGUCUAAUUAGUCACUAUACGUACUUCCUUCGUCCCAAAUUAUAAGAUGUUUUGGAUCUUGUAGGUUCGUACCUUUUACUACGCAUCUAGAUAUAAUAUAUAUCAAGGUGCAUAGCAAAAUCUAUAAAUUAAAAGCUAAAAUAAUUUAUAAUUUGGGACGAAGGGAGUACUUAAUAAGUCUAGUCACAUGCCUAGCUUGCUAACAAACCAACACCUGGUUGCUCAUCGAUCAACCGCCGUCGUACACGCACAUGAAUGUUGAUGCGUUCAUCAACUUGAUCAACUAACUAACUGAAUAUACAUACAAUCUCUUUGUCCCUCAUCCGGGGGAUCUUCACGGAAAUUGCCUGAUUUCCGCGUGCCAACCACUAAUCUUGCACCGCAAAUCGCGGUGCCGACGAUCGACGGCCGGCACAUAUGACACGUGUCAAUUAAGCGCGCGCAUUACUGUUCCCAUUGAUAUCUGUCAAUAGCUAGGGAGAGGGGGAACAUGGCUAAGCUGCAAAUCAAGAGCCCCCAAAUCAUGGAGAUUUACAUGUGCAACGCAUCCCAUUUGUCCAUUAUCCGAGGCGUUUUAGUUGCGUCGAUCGUGAUCAGCUCCCCGCGGGGGAACAUGCUGGCACAUUACAACAUAAUCUAUAUUGUUUAUUUUAUAAUUAUGUCCUUAAUUGUAUAAUUCCUAACUAACACAUAUAUAUAAUAGGGAUGCCCAGCACCACAAUGGGAACAGUGAACACAUGCUGCAGGAGACCUUUUCUUCUUCACACAUGCAUGAGCAGAUGAGCUGAGGCGACUUUUCUUCUUUCUUUGCUGCACUUUUGCUGAGGUGGCAGCCUGCCAGAGGAGUGGGGCCGAUGACACGUCACACAUGCAUGCAUGGAGGGUAGCUAGCUUGCAUGGGAAUCAUGCAUGGCAUGGGAGAGUAGUAGAGGCGAUGACAGGCACAUUACAGGGUGUUGUGACGAGGAGAAUUGAAAGGGAAGCGAUCGGAGUGCAUGCAGAAAGAUGGAGGUGAGGUGUUGGCUGUUUAAGGAAUCAUGUGGUGGCAUGUGGCCUCGAGUUAGGAGAACAUGCAGUCAUGCACGCAUGCCCUCACCUCCAAGCAAAUUGCAAUGCAUCCCAACAUGGCUGCAUGAUCUGCUAAGAACUCUCAAUGUGUGUGUGCUCCAUGUCGUAGCCACAUGCACAUAUGAUCUACUCCCUCCCUUCCGAAUUACAGGUCGUUUUGAUUUUUUAAUAUAUUAUAUAUCCAGAUGUAUAAUAAUAUCUAUGAAUCUAGAAAACCUAAAAUGACCUAUAAUUUAGGAUGGAGGGAGUAGCAAGCUAUGUUGCAUAAUGCAAGGCUUUGUUUAUUUGAUUUGGUCAGUAAAAAGUUUAUUGUUCUUAAUUAUCCGGCUUUUGUCAUGCCAAUGCAUGACACCUAGCUUAUUCCUACACAUAUCUCUUCUUCCAGCCUGGCUCCGGCCAUCAUCUAUGAUCUGUCUAUAUAAACACCCCCUUGCGGCCUUGCCUCCCUCUCUCUUGCACACUUAGCCGCUAGCAUCAUCAUUUCAUCUCUAUCCAAACCUUCAUCUCCUCGAGCUAGUCCUCAUUAAUUAUCUCUCUACAGCUAGCCGCUGCAAUUUGCAACGAAGAUUAGCCAUGGUUGCUCACACAGGCAGCCGUCGUUGCAACUCUUCAACGACAUCGUCGACGGCAAGGCCAAGAACGAGGCCACCGACGUCCUCCGCCGCCGCCGCCAUGGCUUCCAAAAGGCCUUCGCCGCCGACGAACGGCAAGGCGAGGCAGGCCAUCAGCAGGCGACGCGAUACGGAGGUGGUCAGCAGGAAGAUGGAGGCGCUGAGGCGCCUCGUGCCGAGCGGCGGCGGCGACGAGGCCAACGAGCUGAGCUCGAUCCUCCUCCGCGCCGCCGGCUACAUCGCGCGGCUGCAGGCGCAGGUGACGGUCAUGCAGCUCAUGGUCGACGUGCUGGAGCACACCGAGGAUUAAUCAUCCCAUCCCAUCCCCUCUUGUUGAAUUGAUCAUCGGUCUGGAAUUCUGGAUGCAUGAUCGAUUAGGUUCUUGAGACACAUACAUGUACACACCAACAACAAUCGUAUACAAAUGAUGAUGUAUUCUUCUGUAACGGAUCGGACCUCCGUUCAUGUGCUUCUUCGGUUUUGUUUGAUGAGAUUUGCUUAGGGAGUAGAUUUUUGUGGUCAUUUUGGAACCGCGUAGGACCGGUUGGAUUUUAUACGGGCAGAGGAUUGGGAUUCGUUCGUUUUUUGUGCAUAUGCAUGUACGCCAUAUUGUUCGACACUUGUGUUACGGUUGCAGACAAACAGGUACUCCAACUUGAAUGGUUUGGCAUGUGUGCAUGAAGAGCUAAUGUGAACAACAUUUGGUUAAAGUAGUUCUCACGGCUUACCCUUCCUGUGUUUUAUAAUUUUUUUACUAAUUACUAUAUGAUUUUUCAUCACGGGCUUAGAAUCGGCCCGUUGCACCUUGUAAGGCUCGCGUACCACCUAGCUUUUGGGCCUUACAUAUGUGGUAAGUGAGACGCAUUAGGUCCACUAAGAACACGGUGGAUACUGCUGGAUCCUUUAUUUGCUCUUCUCACUCACCCGAUCGAGCUCCACAGAAUACAGAGGAAUUUGAGCUCCUCUCCUCAGUCCCCACAAAACAAUGCUGCUUAGUGAUGCAUUUUGCGUAGGCCUUUUAUACGUCUAAAUGUAAAUUCGUUUAUGCUAAAGUCAUAAGGGCACGUAUUGGUCUUCGCAGGAGAAUGAAUGCAGAACGUCAGCAGGCCGGGGUCCGAAUCGAAGGGUCUGCAGUCAACGAGCCAGAGAACUGGUCAACACCGCAACACGAAGACACAAGAAGUUCACGUUUCUUUUUUUCUGGAUCGAGCAGCAUUUGUCAGAACUCAGACGCUGCUGCUGGGAAACGUCUUCAGGUCAUAGAAUUCCUUUUAGUACCGGUUGGUAUAAACGAUCGUUAAUAAAUAUUCUUAUUUUUUUUCUAAUUCUUUAUUCUAUAUUAGUAUUUCGUAUUUAUUUCGUUUACGUAUAAUAGUUCUAACACGCUAAUAUAUAUAAAGUUGUAUUUAUCAAUAAUAUUACAUUUGAUAUAAUAUUAUAUAUAUAGACAUCUUCUGCAUUCACAUUUAUGAAUAAUAUUACAUUGCAUCAACCCUAACAUUAUUCAACACGUUGGACCUGGUAAAGCCGCACGAAGCAGCAGCACUAGAUCAUAGUCACCAUAGUUUUAGAAGUAACACAAGACAUUAGAACUCAACAGAAGUUCAGAGCAAUGCUCUUCCAGGAUAAUAUUGGGCACCAUAGAAAUUCAGCUAUCGCUGGAUAAUCAUGCAACCAAUAUUCUGUUGGCACUACUUAAAUCCUAAGCAUCCCUCGUGACUGAGUUUCCAACGAUCUACCAUCAAAGAUAAAUUAGCUACUACAUCUAUUACAUUUAGGCCCCGUUUGGAUCAUUGGAAUUGAAUUCCAUCCUAAUAAUCAUAAUUUAGACACAAAUUAAUUAAGCUAAUAUAAUGUAUGUGGAAUAUAGUUGUAUAUUAUAGUUGGUGAUAUGGGAGAGAUACUUGUAUGCUGCACUUCUACUAUAGAGAAGCGAGUCUAAGAGCGUGCUAUAAGAAUUGAAUUCCAUCUAAUAACCAUAAUCUAUAGAAUCAAUUUCCAUCUCCCACCCCAUGAAUUUAAGAUAGGCUUAUAUCUAAACUUUGGAAAGUUGUGGAAUGCCACAUUCCAACAUAAAUUAGCCUACUCCAUUAAAUAGAUUCCAAUUCCUUGGACCCAAACGGGGCCUUAGAGUUUUCCCAAAAGAAACUACUACUACUUAGCCAAUCCCAGCUGGGAAAACCUUGUAGAUUGCCUUCCUCCACUAGUCAUUCCUGCAGACUCCUGAUGUUGUCCUCUCAAAAAGAAGCUGUUUCCAUUUCUGCACAAAUGAUACAAUUAUGUGAGUAACAUAUUUUUUUUAUCUUGUGGAUAACAUCUCCUGGGCACAGUAAAAUUCUUAUUUGAAAAAACAUCCUAGGAAGCCAAAGAACCCACACUAUCCCCACAAAGAAAAUCUUCAUGUUAUUGUUCUUAACUAAAACUAGGUGGAUACCCCGCGCGUUGCUGUGGGAAUUCAAAAGGUGAUAUUUUAUGAAAAACAAAUAAAUUAAUCAUGACACAUGAAGUGAAAUUUUUUGAAGAAAAUGUUAGGGUAGGAAGUGUGGAAGACAUUAUAUAUAAUAUGCACAGUAACAUACAUCACACAACCGCACAGGAGUAGUCCCAUACAUGCUAAAAAAACUCGUAUAGGGAUGUGAGAGUCCAAGAGUCUGAGAGCAAGUAGAAAUCGAGAUGAUGUUUCUCAUCAAACAGGAUAAAGGGAGUGACAAAAGAAAAACUAUUUAGCUACUAUACAAUGUAUAUGAUUUAUGUCAGAGGUUCAUGUCAGCAGAAACUAAAAUAAACACCGGAUAAAAAGCAAGUAAUAUUUUAAAAAUAAAUCAUCUUCCUAAAAAUUAACAAAAUUGUAUAUAGGAUGGGGUUCAGCAAGAAUUGAGAGGAAGCUUUGUUUGAAAUUGAGGAUGACAAAAGUCUGUGAUGCAUGCCUGGAUGCCGGCUGCUAUGAUAUUUUACUGAAAAUGAUCCGCCUCUUGAGCCUUGAUCAUUUGCUUCUGUCAUCUCGGAACGGAUGGUACCAACAAUCAAGUAAGACCAUCGAUACAAAGUAGGAAUUGAUGGUCGCAUGGAAAUCAAAUUCUCAACAAUGAUUGAAGAGGUGAAAAUGGACUGCCUAGCAACAUAGCAGUAUAUAUACGCUAGCUUAGGAGCGGUAAAUAAAGUAUAUGCGAGUGGAGAAUAAUCGCAAUCGGCCUCUUCAAUCUUUGAUUGCUGGGCAGUCGGUGUAGUUAAUGCUCCAUGGAAUGGGCGCACGGUGGUGGCUGGUGAAGUUACACGGACUUCUGUUUCUAUCGGCUCGAUGGAAGAAGUACUCAACUCUACUGUAACCGUAGAAGUAGGGACGGCCGGUGGUGAAGCAGAUGACGUGGUGCAACAAAAUUUCAGAUAAAUAUGAUAGUGGGGUUUGUCUUUAUAGGAGUUAUAGAUGUUAUUGAAAUCCUUAACAUGGUCAUGGGUGGUCCGUGAUUUCUUGACAUGCAGUUGUUCUACUGUUUUCCAGGAUUUCAUUAGUUGCUAUUGUAUUACAUUUCUAGCAGUGAAAUAAUGAUAUAGCACAGGUUCAAGAAACCAUGAUAUAACAACAUAUAUAGCAGUGAAAUAAUGAUAUAGCACAGGUUUAAGAACUGGACCUUCACUUCAUGCUCAAGUUCUUCACCAUAUCCUCCAAAGAGCCCUGAAGUUCUUGUUUCUGCUCAUUGUAUUCAUCAACCUCUUUUUUCAAGGCCUGCACUCUUUCUCGCAAUUCCAGCACACUAUCUCGCAAGUCACCGACCAUAUUCGUGACAAACUGAGAGAAGGGAGGAUCAUACCAUUCCGAUAAUCCACAACCAUUGCUGCCAACCUAAAUAAAUGCAAACAAAAAGACUUAGCAGAUUAGACCCAAAACAAAAGAAGAAAAUCGUAAAAAAUAAAUGGAAUUGCUGUCAUGAAAACUUACCAUGCAACUGUAGAACCUCCUCCCCGGGAAAUAACGCUACGAAAUGAAUCUUCCCAUCUUCACUCCGCAUCGGCAUAAAACGGCCGGCUCGUACUCCAAAGGACCCUCGCGGUACCGCACCGGCGACUCCCCAAAAGGCCGCUCAAGAACAUGUUCCGGCGGCGGCUGGAAAGGCCCACUCGGGACGUGCACAGCCGGCUCCAGCGCAAUCGUCCAGUUCGCCAUGCCCUCCUGCGAAGACUGUGACCGGAAGGUCACCGGCGACCGAGGCUGGAAGGAAAUCAUGUCCCGGGCUGGUAAAAUCACAGGUGCCGGGUUGGUAAAAUCUAUGUCCCGGGCUGGUAAAAUCUGAACUUAAGGGACAUACAUUUUACCAGCCUGGGACAUCGAUUUUACCAGCCUAGGACAUAUAUUUUACCAGCCUGGGGGACAUGAUUUUACCAGUCCGGCACAUGUGAUUUUACCAUUUUACCAGCCCUGCUUAGAACUGUAGAUUAAAAUUGUAGAUUAAAAAUUUAAAAGUGAAGAAGACCAAGACAAUGUCAUCAUUUCAUUGUCCUGCUCGGGCACCUAUUUUGUAACCAAAGUUACUAAGCAGUUUAAGCGAAUCUUUUCUAUAACCCGAUACACUGUGGAAAAUAAUAAUCCUUUUAUUGUUUUGUUGUUUUCUCUCUAUAAACAACUUUGAAAUGUCCAACUCGCAUGUGUACCUCAUUCAAGUUUGUGAUUAAUAUAAGAGGUAAGGAUGCACCUAAUACCUUUAAUUAGGUACUUAUUUUUUCGAAUCGAGGGAGACCCCAUUUCCAUUAUACGAAACGGAAAUACAGUGUAGCAAGUGUUUAAAGAGCAAGAAAGGAACAGAGCUAGUAAAGUAUCACACCCUACGCUGCCUGCCACCUACAUGGUAAAGCUAGCAACAGCGAUCAGAAAACUAGCAACUUCAGACAAAAUACAACCACCAGAUAACGCAACAGUUGUUUAUGUCAAAACAUCAGCUGACUAAUUUGACCUAGCAGACGGCCUGGAGAACCGAGUUUUUUUUUAUUUUGGCUCUUUUCGCGAAUUUUUUCACAAAUAGGCUUCUGGCAAAAACCAAUUCUAAAAAUGGACCCUUAGCUUGGCGCCAGGAUGGCUGACGCCAAGGUAUAACGUCUUGGCGCCAGUCUCCAUGGCGCCAAGGUCCCCCCACCGCGCCUCUGACGUGGCGUCGGCCCUCUGACGUGGCACCAAGGCUUGGCGCCAAGCCUUGGCGCCAUAGAUCUUGGCGUCAAGCCUUGGUGCCAGCCUCCUUGGCGCCAAACCUCCUUACAUAAACCGCCGGCCCUUCUUCCUGCCCGAGAGUUCCUCCUCAUUCUUCUUCACUCUCUCGGGUUUUUACUCUCCCUACUUCACCCUAGACUACGAAUCGACAUUGUAGCUUAGGAAACUUUCAUUUGAUCCGUGGAUCCUAAAGAGCAAGGUAUUCUCUCUCCCUCGUACCUUUUUUCACAUCGAUUCGCUAUAUAUUUGUUGCAUUUUUGAACUUAGAGUUUCAUGCUAAUGUAGGAUGCCGAGGCGUGGAAAAGCUAAGAAACUAAGGUAACCUCAGCGCACGUAGUUAUGUUAUAUGCUCAUUGUUGUGGAUCAAAUGAAAAAACCUUAAUUGUAGAUUUAUUGUUAAGUGCGUUUGAUUCUUAGAAUGAAAUAAACUAAAUUGUAGUUAUGGUGCCAAGAUGACCAGAAAUGCCUUCAAUUCAUUGCCUCUGCCUAGUGGUGUUCCAGUACCUAUGUGCUUUUGCAGCGAUCCUUGCAAGGUAGCCAAGUCCGAUGAACAUGCCACGUAUAUGCAGAGGUAUUGGAUGUGUUUUAACUUUGCGUUUGAACCUACACUUCGUCAGCGCCGCAUUAACAUGUUGGUAAGGAAUUGUUGUUCUCUUAUAAUUAUUGACCAUAAUUUUUUUAUUUUACAACAAUUACAUUUGUUGUAGACCCCUCCAUCGCUAUGUGAUUUUGAGCAGUGGAUCGACACUGAGAUCAAUCCUGAAGACAAGGAGUUUUUGGAGUAUAUGAUGCGCUGGGAUGCAAAGAGGAAGGAGGUGUACGAGAAGAGGCUCAGAGUGGAGGCUGCGGAAAAGGAGCACAAGGAAGAGGAGGAAAGGAGGCGGGUUGCUGCGAACAAGGAGGAGAGGGAGAAGAAGCUUGAGCGUGCACGCCGAGCGAAAGCAGUGGUUGAGGAGAAUCCCGAUGCCUUAAGGAAGGGAAAGUGGCCUCAUUGUACUCAGUAGUUAUAAUUAGGUUAUAGUUCUAUGGUUUAUUUAUGAACAAUAUUUUCUAUUAUGAGACUUUUAUUAUGUUGUCAUGUAAUAAUACACUUUAAGUAUGGACACGCAAGUGGUAGACGACCUAUGUUUAUUUUGCGAUGUAAUGCACUUCGAAGUUGUACUCUAAUGAAAUUUCCGCAGAAAAUAAAAAGGGUGCUUGUUAGCGAAAUUUCGGCAGAAUUUCCCCUACUUUUUGAUGCAAUCCAUACAAAAUUACGAGAUGAAUAGUGAACAUAAAUACAAACAUACAAGCAUAUGACACAAGCAUAUGACACAUUCAUAAUAAAAUACACAAUAGUUCAGAAUGAAAGUCCAUAUAUACAAAUAAUCCAUAUAAUACAAAGUUCGCAAUAAGAACCAUCACUGCCUUCUAGUCUUACCCUUACCCUUGUGACCAAGGGCGUCGGUGCCUGGAGUGUAAGGAGAACGUGGGUAACGUAGUCCAGUGCUUACAACUUGUGUAGGCUGAGUCAAGGGAGCCUCGUGGAGCUGAGACGGGCCAAGCUCCUCAGGCCUCUGCUCAUCGUCGUCGUCGUCGUCUCAUCCUCGGAUGCAAUUGAUUUCGAACCUGAGGAGCCUUGGCUAGACGUACCGACGCCUCCUUCGCGUGGGGAUGGAACGUGCACGUCUCACAUCGUGGCAGUCCUGCAACCACAACGAGCAGCCGCACGACGAAACCGAUUUGACAGUCGCUGCAGUAGUAAAAAACUAGUUACACGAAAGAAUGUAACGUAUUAAUAAAGUAUUAGAAAGAAUAAUUUGAGUCUUACGUCUAGAAAGCUCCGCAUCUCGGGAUCCGUAACUCUAGGACGGAAAUGCUCAAUAUCUCUAACCGAGCUUUGGAGGGUACGGCCCUGCAACAAAUUACUAAGUCACUAAAGCAAUAAAUGAUUAAGUUAUUAACUUACUUACACACUAAGUCACUAAAUGACUAAAUGAUUAAGUCAGAUGGUCACUAAGUCCUUAUCUAACUAACUAAAUCUCUAAGUAACUUAACAUAGAACAUAGAAAAGUGAAGCAAUUAUCCUACCAUCCUAUCCAGAAUUGGUCCUGCCUCCACCUGUCUUCCAGCACGAGUACUCUGAUCGUACACCGUGUCUUCAUCGUCGGAUGAGUGAAUGUCAGCGUAGUCAUCUUCCGUCCACGCUGCCCUCAGCCUGUGACGCGUCGCACCUUGGUACCAAGUCUGGUAUUGCCUAUACUCACUGCUUGUAUGCAGCUCAUUGUUGUCGUCCACGUUAUCGUGGAAGUCCUCCCAAUCGUCAAUGUACGCCUGGUGGAACGCGGCCCACUCAGAGACCUUCCGUUUCUUCUUACGAUCCACGCUGCACGUCACGUUACAUGUUACUGCUAGGCAAAAUUUAGUUAAUGAUAUUGAAAUAAUUCAAAUAGGAAAAGACUUACCUGUGUAACUCCACACUAGUCGAGGUCGCCGGUGUUGGCCAAAUCUGCCUCAUCCCAAACUGACGUGCUACUCGAUCUGGCAGGUGGUACUCGACAGCAUAGAAACAUAUGAGAGGGCACUUCAUCAUGUAAAGAUCGUCGUCCAACCCACACAUGAAGCUAACGGUAAAAGGAAGUGCGUCCUCUCCUUCGUAAGGCUGCCGAUUUACCUGUAACAUGUCAAAACAAGAUGUUAGUUGUUAUACUAAACGAUUACAAAGCAUGUUAAAAAAAAUUAACUUACACUAUGAGCCGUGAGCGCGUCUAUCUCGUUGAUGUAAUCCAGGUACGCGCGGUCCAACCUCGUAUGGCUAACUUUAACCUGAUCCCAAAGAUAUGCCCAUGUCGGCUGCCGUCUCGGCAUCUCACCUGGGAAGCACGGUCGCCGCGGCAUAAUCUUGGGACGACCAACAGCAAGACGGGCCCACAUCCAUAACUGCAAUAGGUAGACACACCCACCAACUGACGCGGAGUCCGAAGUCCGACGGCACGCCUCGCACAGCUACCGGUAUAGAAAACACAGCACAGCUGAUCCCCAACUAUAAAGACCCGCCUGAUGCCAGUCAGUGAGGCAGUGGAUACACAUCCAAGACGCAGUGUCACAUCAUCAACAAUCCGACAACCAUGUCCAACUACUUUAUUAGGGGGCAGAUUCAGCAUCGGGAAUAGUAGGUGCAACACCACAUCCAUAACAGGUUCUGGGACGGGAGGAUCGAAGUGUGCCCGUUAACCCAUUGGUCGGGAAACCGACGAGAAUUUGGAUUAACUCCCACCCGACGAACAACCACUUCAACACUUGGGAAAUGACCAUUCAUAACCGUCCUCACAUAUUUUUCCUACUGGCCUGCACACCGAAUUGGGACCAUCUUCCUUUGAAUGUUGAGAGGGGAACCUAGGUGAAGUAUGACCUCAACUGUGAUUUCAUCAUCUUCAUGACAAUGUAACUCCUCCCGAGGCCUUACAAGCAACUCACUAAACGACUAUUUCUCAUCAAAUAUGACAACCUCGCACUGCAUGGUAACAAACUUAAUACAUCCAUAUUCAUCCCUUUCCACAGUGCCUCCGUGAUAUAUACUCACUACAUUCUCCAUCUAGUAUAUCAAUAUAACGACACACAGUUCAUUUAGUCCAUAAUAAAUCAAACAUUCUAAGUACAAGGUCUCUAAUAUGAAAUAAGAUAGGAUCAAUUGACUACUAACUACUAAAUACAACUAACUAACUAUGCCAUACAACUAACUAACUAUGUCACCUAAUAUGUACCUAUGUACUUAACUAUAUAACUACUUAACUAAAUAACUAGUUUACUAUGUAACUAACUAUACAUCUAACUACGUAAACAAAAUUGGACAUACAUCUAGUUAAAUAGUGUCAUGAGUAUCCUCUAAUCUUUCUAUCAUUGCAAUUCAUAAAGAUAAACUUUCAUAUCUAACAAUUCUACCUAACUAUUCUAAUUUACGUAUCUAACUAUUUCAUCUACCAAUUCUACCUACCUAUCUAAAUUCUAACUACCAAUCUAAUUCUAAUUUAUCUAUCUAACUAUUUUAUCUACCAAUUCUACCUUCUUUAUCUAUCUAGUUAACUAUAACUCUUCUUAGAGUUUUACCUCACUGGUGAACACCGGCGGCAAGGCGUGGUGGCGAGCAACGAGCGGGGUCAGGCGACCUCCGACCGUGGGCCACCGGUGGGGGCGGCUGCGGGCGCCCGGCUGGGGGGCGGGCGGCCUCCGGACGGGGGCGGGCGCGCAGCGGCCGCGGGGGGCGCCGGGCCGGGUGGCUCCGGGCGCCGCCGGCCUUCGGUGGCGCGGGCAAGGGCCAGCUCCAGGCGAUCGGGCGCGCGGCUUCGGGUGGGCGGGCGCCGAGCGGGGCCGGCCGGCCUCCGAGCGGCGACGGCGCCGGCAGCGGCGGACUCCGAGGGCGGCGGCGGCGGCGGCGGCGGUCUCCGAGGGUGGCGGCGGCAGCGGCGGUCUCCGAGGGUGGCGGCGGUGCGAUUUGAAAUGACUCCGAAUGGAAACGGACGCGCAAAAGGAAAGGAACCCGGUGUUGUGGUAAAAAGCUUGGCGCCAGUGGCGCCAGGGAGGCUGGCGCCAAGGCUUGGCGUCAUAGAUCUUGGCGCGAAGGCUUGGCACCACGUCAGAGGGCCGGCGCCACGUUGGAGGCGCGGUGGGGGGACCUUGGCGCCAUGGAGGCUAGCGCCAAGACGUUAUACCUUGGCUGUAGUCAUCCUGGCGUCAAGCUAAGGAUCCAUUUUUGGAAUUGGUUUCGCCAGGGGUCUAUUUGUGAAAAAUUUUCACGAAAAGGGCCAAAAUAAAAUUUUUCGCCAGGGGCCACAAUAAGUUUUCACUCAUUAAUUAGACCCUACUAGUUGAAAAACAAAAAAUAAUUAGCGGUGUAUGCAAAGGGUUAAAUUGGCGGGCUAAAAAUAUGCACAGAAUGGAAAGAAAUAGAAAUGAUUCAAUCAAACAUUGGAAUCUCCGCAUACAAAGUUAACUUUGCACGGCAUUUCACUCGGUAAGUACAUCACUAACCUUUUUUUUUUCCUAUGCCAUCCAAUCCGAGUAAGGCUCCAGAGAACUAAUGGUAAAAGCAAUCAAUCAAUCUAAGAGCAGUAUUUUUAUUAAUUAGGAUGGGUUUCGGUGCUUUGUCAAAGAUAGAAACAAAAAGUAGAAACCACGCACCGCAAUCUCAGGAGUGGCCACGGCUAUCCUUCCAUCUGCAGGCUUCGUCUUCCUCCUGCUUUUCAUUCAGAUUAAUUGAUUCAGAUGUGCUACAGUUCUCUGUCAAAGAAUGAAACAAGGAAGCAGGAACGCCAACACCAUACCACAUUCUCAGGGGUGACCGUGACCGUCUGCCGUCAGGAGGCUUCUUCGUCCACCUGCUCACAGUGUUUACUCAAAAUCUCUUCGUUGCAAGCUGACAGCAUAGCGCAGGAAACAAAUCAGACCGCAACUGAAGGAAGCGUGCAUAUGUAUAUCAUGUUCUAGGGCCUGGUAUAGUGGCAUGGCAAUGGCAGCACAUGUUCUUGGCCAUUAAUGUUAUUAUGACAAGCUGAGACAGUGACAUAUCCUUUGCCUUGUAUUGCAUGAAAAUACUUUAGAGGUCCUAAGAAUACUUGUGUGCAAACUUGCAAUCAGACAAUAGGAUAGUACAAAAAUCCAUACACAAAAACUUAGAUACAAGAUGGCACUAAAAUUUUCACCUAUCAAAUAAUUUACUGCUUGAACCACCAUUUUUAUGAAUGGUAAUGUCAACUUGUAGUGAAUGCAGAGGAAAUCCAGUAUCGGGGAAUCAGCAGUUAAUGGAUUAUAUAUACUUGAUAUCAGAAUCAAGUUGGAGAUAUUUCUGAAGAUCUUUCAGUUUCAUGACUUGUGAAGUAAAAUCAUACUAUUGCCGACUUAGAGUUAUAAUACCUAAUCAAUCAAUGGAUUUAUACAGAUGCUUUUCUUCCUCGUUUCUCCCUCUUUCCUGUCAUUUCCAUCUUGGUUUUGUUUUAAUAAAGUAACACGGUAGGGGAACGCACUGUAUUUCCCUCAAAAAUACGUAGUAUCAAACUAUUGCGGCCAUACAAGGCUUGAUUCUAACAUUACGGUUCAGGCUAACAUAAGCUAAGUCAUAAACAGGAGAAUGGGUCCAAUCCAACAGGAGGCAAGCAAAAGGGACAGGGGCAGGGGGUCCUUACGGUGGCGGCGGCGGCGCUCUCGGCGAAGCGGCCAACGGCGGCGACCGGCGGCGCGAUGGACCUUGUAUAGCUCACCACGGGCCGGCCCGCCCAGCGAGAGAUCCACUCGCCGGCCCGCCCAGCGAAGGGCGGCGAGAGAUCCGGUGCAGCCCACACGCCAGUGGCAGUCACGGCCGGGGCGGCGCUCUUCGUCCUUGAUGCGCGCGUGCUUGUUGGCAAAAGAUGGCGAGCGAGAAUGGAAGCGGGUGAAGGGGAUCGAGGUGAUUGCCGGCGGCCAGCAGGGUACUCCUUGCUACCUGCUAGAGCGAGAAUAGUUGGGGGCGGAGGUGGGGGAGAGAGCGAGGGGCCCGCCACUGGGCUCACGCCUGCUUGCUGGACUGGAGGUAGGAGGUGGCUGGCGAGAGAGAAGCGAGAAGAACGAAGGGUUUGUAAUGGCGAUGCAGAGGUGAAAGGCUGGCUUCUUGUGGCCUUGCGGGUGGCUGCCUGUAUAGCCAAUGACAUCUGGGGCUCAUAUAUGAGGUGGCCCAACGUCAGGGACUGUCCAAGUCCUUCAAUUCUAGUACUCGGUGUGUUUUGGUGUGCACUGUGCAGAAUACGGUGUAGUUCCCUUUAUUAAAAUUUUUGACCGGCUUGGUUUCGCUGUUUUUGGAAGAAAAAAAAACUGCCUUCACUGUAUCACCUUUGACCUUUCACCUGCCAAUUACCCUUGAACUGACCGGUCGGUCGAGCUGCAUGCAAGCUUUGACGUCGAUGUCUCAGGCAGUCUAGCCCGCAGCAGCUUUCGGCCCCCUUUCCUCCCCGCCACCCACCACCAGCCGGCCUGACUGACACUCACCACACACCAUAAUCCGAGGAGAUGACUCCGCUCGCUCUCGGGCGAUGAGACGAGUACUCCAUUGCAUCGGAUUGGAACCUCCUUCUCCCGGAUUAUUUCAGUGAGUCCGUGACACCUUGGCUUGGUUGGGCAGGAAGGCUGCCGCCACGGAGGCUUCUCGUUUUUUUAGAAAAUGGAAUCCGGCCUCUGCGAUAGGGAGCUGCAGCUGCUGUGCAAUUUUUUAUUGUACCUAUUAGCUUUAAUACAUUCGUCUCGCGAAUUAGCAUAAGGUUCUGCAAUUAGUUUUAUAAUUAGCUUAUAUUUAUUAGCAUCCGAACAUCCAAUGUGACACUAUUAAAAUUUAUCACCUCAUAUCCAAACACCCCUAAAACCUCAUCGCUUGCAGUAGCUGUGCAUUUUUUAAGGGUUGCUGUCGCACGUAGACUCAGCCAUGCUAGGUAAGACAAGACAAGGUUGGAAGCCCGCCAAAUCCAUGUACUAAUUGAUAUGGGUUAGUGUUGUUAACCAAAGCUUAAGAAAAAAAUUUACAAAUUUGAAAGUCCAUUUAAUUUGUCUCAUGUCCUAAUCAAUCCCGUCUUUGCAGCAUGCACAACAUCAGAAGCAUUCCGGUGGAUCAAUCGCCUUUGGACAAGAGCAUGCAUCGGCUUGAAGUUUGGUGGAUAGGCGUCGUACUACUCAUCGUCGUACCUUUUGGCGCUAAACUAGCAGCUCUGCAUUGUCACCAACCUUUACUUUAUUAUUUGAUAAAAAUGCAUGCAAUCUCGAUCGCUCCAACGCAGCGUGAAUGCAUGGGCGAAUAGUUGUGUUCUUUGAUACGAUAGGUGUGUUUAGUUGGAGGAACAAGGGAACGUGAUAAGGUCAUUCUUUUUUUUAGGAUGAGAUGAUCCCACCUACUCCCUCUAUCCUUUAGUAUGUGUUGUGGGAAGCAUGUUAUGAGGAGGGCAAGCCCCGGUGAACGACAGAUAAAAAGGGAUGAAGGGAGUAAAUAUUUUGUUGUAGGAAAAUGGACGUCCUAGUUCGUUGUUUGGAGAGACAGAGAUGGUCCAUUAUUAAUAGUGUUUGCAUCCAGUUAGUAGUAGGGUCCAACUGUCAGCCGCAGAAGGCUAUGCAGAGGACCUCCAUGCCAUCCGCGCGUGCUUGCCUCUACCUCGCUGUCGGCCGGCUGCGCACCAUCCCCGGCCUGCUUCGCCCUGGCUAGCUCGUCGGACGGCUGCGCACCAUCUCUGCCCUACUUCGUCGCCAGUUGCGCACCAUCUGCCGCUCACUUGCCCCAGCUAGUGCAGCUCCGCCCUGAUCAGCUCUGCCACGCGCUUGGUUCUGGCUAGCUCCGGCCCAAUUUCGGCGACACCAGGAUGGAGGGCGGGAGGAGGCGUCGGCGGCGGGCGUGGCUGGAGGAGCGGGAGAAGACGUCGGGCCUGGCUGGAGGAGCGGGAGAGGCGGGGCCGGUUGGUGCACGCAAGGAGGAACCGAAGGGGCGGACGGGCACGAGGAGAUGGAGGGAGAUGCCAUGCACGGAAAUGGAUCCAUCCGCUAGUUUUGGAGGGACCGAGCCGUUCCUCUUUUCUGAGGAACAGUCCUCUUUGAUAUUGUCCCAUCUAACCUAUUUCUUCAACCAAACACAUGUAAAAUUAGGAUGAUCUUAUCCCAUCCCAUCCCUCCAUCCAAACACACGUCUCGUCCAAUCUAUUUCUUCAACCAAACACGUACAAAAUUAUGAUGAUCCCAUCCCAUCCUAUCCCUCUAUCAAACACACCUAUAGCUAGCAACAUAGCAAACGAAAUGUGGCAUUGUGGCAACCAUAGUGAUCGCCAUGCAAUCAAACUUCUCGGAUUUUUUUAUCCGCCUCGCCGUGAGGCUGGAACGGAUCCCUGGCUCGGAUUCCAUCGGAGACCACAGACCAGACCAUUCAAGGCUUCAUAGAUCCGUACGUGCUACGGCCUCGCCGGGCAAGCGGGCAGGGAAACCUCACAUCGUUCAGAGUGUUUGCAGCACGCAGGGGCACAUAUCGGUAGCAGCGGUGCCAUCCCUUCAUGGUCGGGGCCACGGGGACACUGCGUUUUCUACUCUUGAAACGAAAGAAAGAAAGGCACCGCCUUUACCCGGCGCAUUCGACCACCCUGUGUAUAAUUCCAAAUGGCGAAGGCUACAAUUCAUUCAUUCUAUCAAGCAGGGUUUUUUUUUAAAGGAAAACGCUAUCAAGAAAUGAUGUGAGGUUUACCGAUCGAGCUGGCACUGGUUCGAUGACAUGCUUGGAGCAUUUGUGAGACAAAUGAAGCAUCCAAGACAAUGUCGUUGUGUUUCGAGCUUGCUGCUUCCGCGUUCCGCCACAAAUGCCGUCAACGUGAGCUCUGCUGUAUGCGCCCGUACCGCACCUCGGCGAAGAACGAGAUUACAUGGCGUGGCUAGGGAGAGGGCCAAGAAAAAAAAAUCAUGGCGGGCUUAACUGGUGAAUGCGUUACCCAGGUGUGUUACCAUGUAAACUAACUACUGCAUGCGAUGUUGAGUGGUGAUGCUCGCUGUGGCCACGGCCGCCAGGAGCUUCUCUGUUUUGCUGUUUUCUGCAAGGAAUCAGAGAAAUGACCUUUCAAGCAACAUGCGAGCUUGAUUUCAGUUAAUGGUGGAUGUGGAUCCUCUGUCCUCUGAUGACCUCUUGCUCACCUCCAAUUUUAUUUUCAUAAUUUCAGUUGUCUUGUGUCUGAUCACUGCUAUCUAGAGGCACUCAGCUGCUGCCCAAUCUUUUGAGUGGUGUUUUCCACAUCGCUUUGCUUGCUUCAAAUAGUUUACUGUAUAGUUCACUCCUGCUCUUUAAUUUACACUCGGUAUUUCAGUUUGCUUCAAGAGUUUUUCCAUAUAAUUUGGUUCCUUUUGUCCCGAGAAAAACUCGAGUAGUUUCUUUCGCGUUCACAUUCCAAUUUAUACAGCAAGCUUUAUUUCCAAGUACUUGAUGAGCAUGUAUAUAUGUUGCAAUUUCUUCUCAAUGCUGAAGUUUAUAAUACAUUCAUGAUUUCUUCAGCUUUUUUAAAGAAAGAAUUAGCACAACCUUUUCUACUUCUCUUGUAUUUCUCUAUCAAGAUGAAUGGAUUCAAAUCAAUUGAAAAUUUUAAGAUAUUAAACACAAACAACCUGUAAGAAGCUGAGGCACUUAGAGAAAUAACAAAUGUUUUGCCGUCCCCAUGUCCCCCCCUUGGCAGCAUGGGGAUGUCAAAAGGAAAGGGAUGGAGUUUUUCUCGCUUUUGGCGUAGCAGGCCUCCCUUUGGGAGGCCCGCGUGACAGGCUAUUAGCUCAGUGGUAGAGCGCGCACCUGAUAAUUGCAUCAUUGUACCUGGGCUGUGAGGGCUCUCAGCCACAUGGAUAGUUCAAUGUGCUCAUCAGCGCCUGACCCGAAGAUGUGGAUCAUCCAAGGCACAUUAGCAUGGCGUACUCCUCCUGUUUGAAUCAGAGUUUGAAACCAAACAAACUUCUCCUCGGGAGGAUAAAUGGGGUGAUUCAGGUGACAUCCCAUGUAGAUCUAACUUUCUAUUCACUCGUGGGAUCUGGGCGGUCCAGGGGGUGGGUGGCACCGCGGCUCCUCUCUUCUCGAGAAUCCAUACAUCCCUUGUCAGUGUAUAGAGAGCUAUCUCUCGAGCACAGGUUGAGGUUCGUCCUCAAUGGGAAAAUGGAGCACCUAACAACGCAUCUUCACAGACCAAGAACUACGAGAUCACCCUUUCAUUCUGGGGUGACAGAGGGAUCGUACCAUUCGAGCCUUUUUUUUCCAUGCUUUUCCCGACGGUCUGGAGAAAGCAGUAAUCAAUAGAACUUCCCUAAUCAUCCCUUCCCAAAAGGAAGAAUGUGAAAUUCUUUUUCCUUUCUACAGGGAUCAGGAGAUUGGAUCUAGCCAUAAGAGGAAUGCUUGGUAUAAAUAAGCCACAUAAGAAAUAAGAACUUCUCUACUGGUAGUAGACCACUUCAAACAGGACCUGUUUGUUUUAAUUAAGUAAUUCGACACUAUGGGCCAGAUGUGCUAAUCGAUCAGUUGUUCUCUCCUCAUGGACCAGAUGUGCCUCGGGCGUCAGCCUCUCCUCAUGGACCAGACGUGCUAAUCGAUGAGUUGUCGGUGUGUGCGGGAUAAAGGUACGGGAGCUUCCACCUUCAAAAGAGCACCCGACUCUUGCGUAGCCAUUCCACAGUUGGAUCGACACUUGCUAUCGACCAGUAGCACAAGGAUGGUCAUCCAGACUCUUGCGCUACUAUCGACCAGUAGCGCCCAAUGAGAUGCCCAUUUUUCACUCAAGACUGGCCCUUUCCCAUGAUCCCAAGAUCAAUGGCGACAGGGUCAUUACCUUCUGGUGCAUCAAACAUUGUCUGCAUAUACAAAGCAGUUGUGAAGACAUGAAAUAAAACAUUAGACUGAACUUCCUUGAAGUACAGCUGAAACCGAGUUUCAAAUAGAUUAACAGUGAACCCCAAUUUUUACUGACUGAAAAGGUCAAAGCUAUUUAGAAAAUAAUUUACCAUCCUACAGCAGAGAGUAUGAUACUAUCAAAUUAUUAUGUGGCGAGAAAAUUAACUUACCUUGAACCAUGUGAAGGGUGUCUGUGUAUCAUCAUUCUGCAUGCUACUUCGAUUAGCAUAUCCUUGGUUCUCAGGAGAAUAGAUCCUUGAACAUUCACCUUUCAAAAGCAAUCUGCAAUUUGACCUUCGUGCUAGUCUAGUUUAUUUGGGGCCUGUAAAUAAAUAUUUACUCUAUUCUAUGAAACGGGCACUGAUUCGUUGUGGCCAAGCAGAAAGAUCGAUUAUUAAUUCCUUGUAAGCUUUGACGUUAUGGUCGAGCAGAAGAGACGAACAUCUGUAUGUGGCCUACAUGCUCCAAUUCAGCUUUUGAAUUGCACUGUAAAAGUCUAUACGCUCUUCAAUUCAUCUUGUAAAAUUAGGCUAAAUAUACAAAAAAAAUAUCUAUAUAUGUAUAUGUUUAUGCUCGCUGGUCUUCCUAACCGGACGCACAAGCCGACGCGACCUCAUGCAGUCUUUUGGCUCUUUGCAGUGCACUGGGAGCAGGCAGUCGUGCUCGAUCGAUCACCUCGUCGGGCGGGGGCAUGCACAUGCAUGUGGCCCUGCUGGCGGUGGCCCGCCGGCCGCCCAAGCUCACCUACCCGCGCAGCUGCUCGGCCAUACCACGAGGUGCUUCUGAUCGCCUCGCCUCGGCGUGCAGGGACAGGGAUGUGAGGUUUGCCUGCCAUUGCCCGGAUGGAGCCGUAGCACGCGUGAGGAGCUCUGUGCAUCUUUGCAGGCCAGCCUUUGCCUGCGGCUGCGCAGGGGCUGGGGUAACCUAGCUAUCAGUCUAGCUCUCUCGCUCCUCGCGACGAAUGUGAAUGCCCCCUUCUCUCCUCACGGCCUAGCAGCUCGCUUACUGUUACUAAAACCCUACGCACAGCUCGCACAGCCUUAACUGAGCAGUGGCUGACUGGCUGACUUGUAGGCCAGGCUAGCAUGGUCCCACCGUGCCGCCCACUGCACCAGUAACGCAUGGUGAUGCCCUGAUGGGCUGAUGGCUCCGUCUCUCCCUGCGCACAGUGCAGGUCUUGUCGACGAUGGAAUCCGAUCGAGGCAAGAUGCCGUGAGCCCGUGAUCCAGCUUGCUCCUACACAGCUGCAUUUGCUGCUCACUGCUCGUUUGCAGCAUAGCUGUUGUUGCCUUGCGUGCUAUUCGGUGUUCUCCUAGCUCCCAGCUUUAAUGCAGACCUGGCCAUGGCCUCGGCCUGCGUUCCCCGCGCCCCUGUCGCCAUUCGAAUCACUGGGGCUCACCGUGGCCCGGAUGGAAUCCAAAGUAGAGAAUGGUAGCAACUCAGCUACCAAGAGGGUUGCUCUACUCUUGCGUGCACCUUUCAACAAAACACUCGGCGCCGUCAUAUAGCGCGUCGCCUGUUCAUCGACCCUUCCGCCUCGCUCCUCUCGCUUUCCUCCCUGACCUUCUGGCAUUGAGGCUAGCUUGAGCGUCUCCUCGGCUCCUUCUCGUUCUACCUCCCCUCCCGGCACCGUUCUCUCUCUGUAGUAUAUAUCCCUUGCAACUUGCUAGCUCAUCUUCAUCAUCUAUCAGCGCUUCACCUCCCACCACUCUCGUUCACCAUCUUUCUCUAAAGAAGUGUGCACCGGGGAAGCAGAGGGAGGGUUAGCUUCCAUUAUUUGUGCCCUUUCAUUCCGCCGUCCGUCGCUCGCCGGCCGGCGAGAGGACGGUGAGCCGUUCGUCUCUAGCCCUUCCUUUAGGAAAAAAAUAUACUUGAUCGAUUUGCUCACUGCUUAGUUGAUUUCUUUUCCCAGCAAGGUUGACGAGCCGUACAUUUCUUGCAUUUAUAAGGCUAGAGCCCAGGGAAAGGAGCUCACGCAGCUGGGGCGAUGAGGAGGAGGAAGAAGCCUCCGGACGGACGGACAACCGUGGCCACUCCUGAAAUUGUGGUGCGUUGUUUCUACCUUCUGUUUCUGCAUGCUGAAACCCGUCCUAAUUAACGAAAACACUGGCUAUUAGUAUUUAGUACUACUCUGAGAUCGAUUUGCCUUUACCAUUAUAGUUCUCUGGAGCCUUACUCGGAUUGGAUGGCAUAGGAAAAUAAAAAGGUUAGUAUACACUUACCAAUUAAAAUACCAUGUAAAGUUAUUUUGUACGUGGAGAUUUAGAUGUAUGAUGUAAUCAUCGUAUAAUUUUUGAAAUUUUUUUAUUUUUUUAUUUUUUUAAUUUUGCAUAAAUAUAUAGUCAAAUUAAAAAUUUGCAAAAAUGGCCUUAUAUCGUCGGCUGAAACGGUGGUAUGGGUCCUACCUACCGCCGUUUCAAUCGGCGGUAGGAGGCGGCAAGGCGAUACCGCUCACGGGUCACCCACCGGAUUAACUCCGCGUGAUACCCAAGAAAGCUCCGUCAUUUGAACUGGCGGUAGGGGCUUUGCUAUCGUUAAAACGGCAGUAAGGUCCUUACCGCCAGUUCAAACGGUGGGCUCGUCCACUGUAAAAUGUGACCACGCCCUUCCCCCUUCCCCCGCACCAGACCCCCGCCGCACUCACUCGUCCCCUCAUCAGACCGCUCGCAUUUGUGCCAGAGAAAGAAAGAGGAAAGGAAAGAAGGGAAGAAAAAAAAGGAGAGUAGAGGAGGAGGAGGGAAGAAAGGAGAGGAGGAGGGAAGAAAGAGAGGAGGAGGAGGAAAGAAUGGGGAAGAAAAUUUUUCCGUCGUUCUCAGUUAAAUUUUUUUAAUCUCGUAGUUUAGAUAGUAUAGUGUAGUGAUUAGAUCUAGAUUUAGAAAUAUUAAUGGAUGUGAGAUUUAGAAAUAGCUAGUGAAUCUGAGACUUAGAAACAUUUAGCUGAAUUUAGAUAUAGCAAGAUGUAGCUUAGUUAAUAUAAUAGAUUUAGCUUAGACAGUAAAAUAGAUUUAGCUUCAGUGGUAUAUUUAGCUUAGGUGGUAUAGUAGAUUUAGCUUAGGUGGUACAAUAGUUUUAUUUUAGAUCACAGUAAAUUUAAGAAAUCUUAGUGGAUCUGAGAUUUAGAAAUAUCUAGUGGAUCUGAAAUUUAUUUGUCGUGUAUAUUAGUUCUGGUACAUGCCUAUGAUAAAUUUAGUGCACUUUUUUUAUUUUUAACUUUUUUUUAUUUUUAUAAAUAACCUCAGCGGGACUUUAUUUGCGGUAGAUAACCCUUUUGACCGCGCCAGACCGCCUGGCGCGGCAGGCGCCCUCUGCCACGCCACAUGCACUGGCGUGGCGGGUCCCUGCCACGCUGGCGCGGUGACUCGCCGUGCAAGGUGGGCGCUCGCCGCGCCAGCCCGCCUGGCGCUGCAGAGCCUACUCUACACUCACGCGCUGGCUCCCUUCCUCCUCCCCCCUCCUUUCUUCUUCCUCUAGAACCACCCGAGCCCAAGCUUCUUGCGCCGCCCCCCGCCGCCCCACCCCCAAAUCCAACCAAAAUCCGGCGAUAUGCUCAGGAAGCACUUCAACGUUUGUCCUCAGGGAUCAAAUGAUGAGGUUGUGCAGCGAUAUGCUCGAGUUUAGCUAUGGCACUUUUUGAGCACAUUCCUCCUUCCUGAUGCAGCUGGGAACACGAUGUCUUGGAUGAUUCUCCCCAUUUUGGGUCAGCAUUGGGACAACAUAACCCUUUACAGUUGGGGCUCAGCGGUUCUCGCCUGGCUGUACAGACAGCUAUGUGAGGCUUGCAGGCGCACUGCAAGGGAUUCCAAUGUUGGAGGGUGCACAUAUAUGCUGCAGAUUUGGAUUUGGGAGCGAAUGCCCGUAGGUCGACCUUCCCGUCUCCGUAUCGAUGUAAGUCAGAACGGCUAAUUCCCUUUUCUACUUUAAUGUUUGGAAAACUGUUGUAUCAUGUGAUCAAUUGUACUUACUUGCAAUUUCAGCCAUGGCAUCGAGACGAUGCUCAUCCCAUAUUCUAUCAUGUGUGGAAGCAUGUGCGGCCCGUUCGUGGCAAUCCUGAUAGGCGCUACAGGGCCUACACAAACGAAUUUGAUGUUGUCACGCAGCACCAAGUAAUUUGCUCACCAGAGUUUGUUAAGCUCACUUCCGUAUAAUGAUAGAUGAAAUAAGUAUUGCGUAAAAUUUUUUGAAGAUUGAAUGGAAACCGUACGACCGUGAGCAGCUAAGGCAGAUCGUAUUUUCACCGACGUGCUACAGAGACUGAGAGCUGUGGAGGUGCACCAAGCCAAUGAUAUUGUACUACGUCAUAGAGUUUAAAAUAUCGCAUAGGGUGAUGCGGCAGUUUGGGAGGAUGCAACCGUGCCCUCCUUUGGAAUUAUCGAUUUCGUAGCAGCUGCAUAGGUAUGCAGGAAUAAAUAACUAUUGGAGGUUAUUCGAUACACGUACUUAACAUGUUAUACUAAUACUUUACUAAUUUCUGAUGUAGGAUCGACCGCAGAAAGAGGUAUAAGGAGAAUGAUUGGAGGGUGAAGCAUGGUCAGUACCUCGUCAUGUGAGAGAAUAAGCAAGGAUACGAUCCUAAAGGUGGAUCGUACUGGCGACCAGGACCAAACAAUGAGUACAUAUGAUGGUACUGUACUUCGACGAGAACUAAAGUGAAACCAUCUCGAAGUAAUGUGCCUAUUGAGGAUGCACCGUCUGACUCAGACGUCGACAUAGCUGACGCGUACGACACGGUGACACGCUAUGGGACCCAGCCUGAGCGUGCACCUCUCCACGACAACAUGGUAAAAUUUCAAUUUGUAAUCAUAGUAUUGUAACAUUGAUCACUCAUGGUAUGAAAACUAUGCGUACAGGGACAGCAGUUUGCAAGGCUCUCAAACGAGGCCGGCGUGGUUAUGGAGCACGCCGUCGGAUCCGGUGAUGGUCUGCUUCGUCAGUUUGCAGAGGUAGAAGCCCAUCCUAAUUUCCACUUAUGCUCGUACCACCUUUGUAACCCUAUCAAUAUCAUAGUCGUGAAUAUAUGCUGCUUACAUGUUGCAGAGGGUUCGGAAAAGCUGCAGACGAAUGGCCAUGAGGAUGAACUGCAUGUCGUCCUCAGAUGUGCACCACGGGGGCAAUGGCCAGGGUACUUCUUCGGGAUCACGUCGGACUCCAUUGGCGACUCCCCCAGGGCUGCAACACCGUCCACUGCUGCAGGUCCUAGCAGGAGAUCACGAGGCAAGGAACCCGCAUCCCCUCAGGCAAGCGAGGACUCUGAAGGUGAGCAGUUUAAGGAUGACGACCCUACAUAUGGUGAGGAACUGGAGAUUUCCGGCAUGAUCGAUGCUCCACCUAUGACUCAGACGCAGGGAGAGUCCAGCCAGGUACAUUCACAAGUUUCACCAAAUUUAAUUCUAGAUUGUUAAUGUUCACUCCCGAAGUAUCAUACAAAUUUUAUGCUUUGUGCCUAAUUAUUCUAUAGAAACCUGCACCUCGUACCCGGAUGCCACGCUGGCGGCAUCGUUCCCGGGACCACACCGACGUUGGCAGCGCCAAUUUGCUGCCCACGCAUCCAAGAAGGGAGCGUCGCCCAAGAGAUCCUUUUAGCCCUCCGGUUGAGCGGCGGUCACGACACUGAACGUUGCAUGUCUCAAGUGUGAUGCACUAUGUGUGCAAUUUAAUUUAUGUUAUAUGUGUGUGCAAGACUAUUGGAACUGUCACGUGUGUAAAAUACUAAGUUGGAUGUUAGGUUUAUUUCUGUCACGUGUGUAAAAGACUAAGUUGGAUGUUAGGUUUAUUUUUGUCCGUACAAUGUUAUAUGUUUGCUCCAUGACAUACUUGUGUUUCGUGGUUCAAACUAGUUUAAAAAAAAUCAGAACAGAAAAAGCUAUUUAAGUUUCAUCAGCCGGAUUGUUGGGGCAGCUGAGUCGGUGGAAGUCUACAAGUCCAGAAAACCUACUGAAACUUUAAUGAAUUUGGCGCGGGAGUGCACCCCUGCCGCGCCAGGCGGAGUGGCGCGACAGCCCAUCCACCAAAACCUACUGAAAAUUUUGUGCAAUUGGCGAGACAGCGCAUUCCUGCCGCGCCACUCCCCUUGGUGCGGCAAGCCCCGUCCCCCCCCCCAACAAACUGAAUUUUUGUUUCGCUUGGCGGGGGUAAAAAUUCCUACCGCACCAGGCGGAGUAUUUCUAGUAAGCCCCCCCCCCCUGGUUGAAAGGGUGGCAAGUUUUCGAANNNNNNNNNNNNNNNNNNNNNNNNNNNNNNNNNNNNNNNNNNNNNNNNNNNNNNNNNNNNNNNNNNNNNNNNNNNNNNNNNNNNNNNNNNNNNNNNNNNNAAAUUUUUUUUUCGUUGGGGGGGGCAGGGCCCUCCUCCCGCCCCGGGGGGAGUAGCGGGGCAACCCCCCCCCCCCCCCCGAAACCUACUGAAACUUUGUUGCGUUUGGCGCGGCAGCCCACCCUUGCCGCGCCACUCCGCCUGGCGCGGCAAGCACCGCCCCCCGGGCGAAACCUACUGAAACUUUGGUUCGAUUGGCGCGGCAGAGCACUAUUGCCGCGCCACUCCACCUGGUGUGGCAAGCCCCACCCCUGGGCGAAACCUAGUGAAACUUUUGUGCAGUUCGCGCGGCAGCGCAUUGCUGCCUCGCCAGGCGGAGUGGCGCGGCAAGCCCCACCCCCUGGGCGAAACCUACUGAAACUUUUAUGCAGUUGGCGCGGCAGCAUUGCUGCCGUGCCAAGGCGGAGUGGCACGGCAAGCCCCGUGCCCCGGGCGGGCGGAACGUACUGAAACUUUAUUUCGAUUGGCGCGGCAACGCACUCCGGCCGCGCCACUCCUCCUGGCACGGCAGCCUCCCACCAUAUCCAGCCCAAAUCCGAACGGGUUUGGGUCGGAUAAAAAAAUGCUCGGAUAUACACUACGCUGGAUCGGACCCUACCAGUAAUUAUAGAAAGAGUAUUGUCUUUUUUUUAAAUAUUACAGUACUUCUUCACAAGUUUUUGUUCAAUCUUAAAUUUUGAAUGAUGGUAUAUUUUUGUUCUCACGUGACUUGCGAGUAUGCUAGAAAUUUUGAUCGAAGCUACUACUGUUUCUUUCACACUCUAGUGCUAACUUCUAGCUCGGAGAGGAAACUUUGAUGCGUUUGGACAUAGUUCUCUCAUAAAUGAAAAUUAUUUUUGACAACUAACCGUAGUUCUCAGAAUAAACAUAAACAUAGUUUUCUCAUAAAUGAACAUACUUUUCACAACUAAAGACAAACAUGAUCAAGCAAAAUCAACAUGUUCAUCUAGUCCGAGUCACCUUCAUAUAGUAACUCGUCAUCAUCAUCAUCAUCAUCAUUAUCCCCGGCAACAAUAAUUCCCUUCCCUUUCUUAUCGACAUUAACCUUACCAACAAGUAAAUUGGCAACAAGAGCCUUCAUCGUCUUCAUCUGUGCCUCUUCCGCUUUUUGUUAUAACUCUUCCAUUUCAAUCCUUCUCUUUCUUGCCCAAACCUGCUGCAAAUAUUCUUCCCAUGAACCCUUAGGGUAUUUCGCAUUCGGAUCAACCACAUAACCUAAGCGAUCUCUUUCCUCCCUCAACCUUUGUUUCUCCAACUCUCUCUCCUCUUGCAACUUCCUCCUAUUUUCUCUCUUCUCAUUUCAGUUAGAGGUCGUGGAUACUUGGAUCUAUUCUGCCUCCAAUACUUAAUAAUAGUUUCCCUCGCAUAAAGUCCUUCAGGCUCCACUCCAGUCUCAUGCACCAUAUCUUGAUAUAUUUUCCCCCAAAGCAAGUCGUUGUCAGGGAUAGGCACAUCAUACUCCUUCCUAAUAUUUUCUUUAAGUUCUUGUUGUUUUCUUGACUUCCAUAGUUUCGAUGUAUUACCCAACUUUAAUAACAAAUCACAAUGACUAGAAAAAUCUUCCCAAUCACAUGUCCUUCCCUCCUGCAACAACAAUUUCAUAUUCUUACAAAUUUGAAACAAGUUCCAACCUUAAUAACACACAAGAGACGAGUACUUACUAACCUAGUAAUCGCCAUGUGCAUUUCCACAGAACGAACCAUAUCCAAGUUCAGAAGGUAUCACACCUUGUGUUGCCAAUAUACCACACUUGCAUCUAUCAUUAGGAGAGGACACACAUGGCCACGGUGCCUUUCCACUCUCGAACUACCGCACUUGCUCCUCCGUUGGCCACAUUGCCAUUGGGCCGUAUAUAUAUUCAUUGAAAUCACACAACGGCCACCCAUCCUGCAAAAAAACGGUGACGUGAACUACUCAUACGUAAAGUAACUAGAAAACGCUGCUCCAACUUCCAAACAAUAACAUCAAGUAAAAGUAUGAACAAUAUACUGCAAAAUUAUAACUGCUAGCUACACGAUAUAGUAAUAUUCUCAUAAUAAACUUACAUGAGUCUUUAGCGAGCAUCGAAAGAAUGGAGUAAACUUAGGUGGAUCCCCUAAGUUAGGACGCAUAAGCUUAGCUGGAACACCACACUUGCACAUGGGAGGAUCCCUCACACGCCUACAAGCAGCCUCCUGCUUCUCCUCCUCGGUCAUCCUUGGUGGGUUUGGUGGAGGAGUAACCCAACGCCUAAACUAAUGGUAUGGUUUAAGCUCUGUGCUAUGAUAUGGGAAUAGACGGAUUGUAGGAUCAUAUUUGUCGGGUCCAUCGAUCCACUGAAAGAAAUCACAAGGUGCGGCAGGCAUUGGAUCAAAAGUCCACUUGCAUACAUAGAAGGCUCUUCCGGCUGUCUUUGGAUGCCUUGAUUGUUUCACCUCUGCUUGCACGCCACAUCUACAAAGAGGUACCGGAAAGUCAGGAGGUACGGGACCAGCACCAUUGGACUCGCCCACAUAACGCACAUACCACCUACGCCGCUUGUAUUCACAACCAAACGACGUCAUCUUACCUAGACAUCAAGUGCCACAAAAUUAAUACACAAAUAAACUUUACACACAUAAUCCAUACGAGCUAUAUACAUCAUUUCGAUAAAAUGUAAACACUCCAUCUACAAAAUACAAACACUGAAACCUAUCAACUAUAGCAACUAUAUUAAGGAACAAAAAUAUGAGACUAAUUAAUUGAACAUAUAAAAAAAAUACAUGUCAUGUAAACCACACAAUUGGAUGAAUAUAUACCUAAAUCGAAGCAUUCAACAAGUUCUACACGUCAAUAUAGCGGGCAGAGCCUCAAUUGGGUCUGAACUACAUAUCAUCUAACACAAAACACCAUUGCAUUUCAUUCAAAAUUGAAAUCAUCAACCUAAACCUAAGUCACCUAAACAUCCUCCGAUCUACCAAAUGCAACGGUAAAAAUACGAGAAAAAGUAUGGGGAUACCUUCCACACAAAGCAGGGAUCAAUUUCCACAACUUUCCCCCACCGAAAUCGCUGGAUUUUGGGUGGAUUUGGGGGUGGGGUGGCGGGGGGCGGCGCAAGAAGCCAAGGGCGCUAGUCAGGAGGAAGAAAGGAGGGAGGGAGGAGGAAGGAGCCGGGACGCGGAUGUGGUGGAGGCUCUGUCGCGCCAGACGGGCUGGCGCGGCUAGCGCACGCCCACGUCAGUGCCCACCUGGCGCGGCGAGUCGUCGUGCCAGCGUGGUAGGGGCCCGCCGCGCCAGUGCAUGCAGCGCGGCAGAGGCUGCCUGCCGCGCCAGGCGGUCUGGCGUGGCCAAAAGGGCUAUCUGCCGCAAAUAUAGUUCCACUGAGGUUAUUUUUAAAAAUAAAUUAAAAAAAGUUAAAAAUAAAAAAAAUUCAAAUUUAGUUAGGAAGCUUGGUUUAGUGUUACAUAGUUGUUUUUUUAUUGAAUUGAAGUCGUCAUUGUAGUUAACUGAUAUAUAUUGCUGAGAUUAAUUUGGACUGCCCGUUUCAUGCAUGUUGGCAGGCAUGUCGGAUAGUUUAAAUUUUCAAGUGUUCUAUGGGUCGGGAAGGUUAGAUAUGGUGAAUUUUUUUUAUUUUUACCCUUUUUUAAAUUUAUUUUUAAAAAUAAUCUCAGUCGAAGUUUAUUUGCGGUAGGUAACCCUUUUGCCUACGCCAGACCGCCAAGUGCGGCAAGGAGUCUCUGCCGCGCCACAUGCACUGGCGCGGCGGACUCCUGCCACGCUGGCGCGGCACGACGCCGAGUCAGGUGAGCGCUGACGUGGGCGGGCGCUUGACACGCGAGCCCUCCUGACGCAACAGUGCUGACGCGCCAGCUCGCCUGGCGCGGAAGCGCCUUACCUAGACACGCGCAACGGCUCAUUCCUUCCUCCCUCCCUCCUUUCUUCUUCCUCCAGCACACCUGCACCUGAGCUUCUUGCCGUCGGCGCCCGCCGCCCCACCCCCAAAUCCACCCAAAAUCCGGCGAUUUCGGUGGAGGAAAGUUGAGGAUAUCGAUCCCUGCUUCUUGUGGAAGGUGUCCCCCUAGUUUUUCUCGUGUUUUACCGUUGCAUUUGGUAGAUCGGAGGAUGUUUAGGUGACUUAGGGUUAGGUUGAUGAUUUCAAUUUUGAAUGAAAUGCAAUGGUGUUUUGUGUUAGAUGAUGCGUAGUUCAGAUGCAAUUGAGCCUUUGCUCGCGAUAUUGACGUGUAGAACUUAUUGAAUGUUUCGAUUUAGGUAUAUAUAUUCAUCCAAUUGUGUAGUGUAAAUGACAUGUGUAUUUUUUAUUUGCAAUAUGUCCAAUAUGUGGAAUAUGUCGAAUUGAUAUGUUGAAUAUGUGCAAUGUGUAGUGUAUAUGACAUGGUGAAAUGUUUGUAUUUUUUAGAUGGAUCGUUUAGUUUGAUUUUUCGAUGGUGGUAUUGUGAAACAAAAUAGUGAGUUAGAGAAUAUGAAUGAGUCAAUUGAAUUCUUCGAGGUUCCUCCAAGUUUUACUGAUUUAGUUGGCCGUGCAAUGGGGAAGGAUGGAUGUAGAGUAAAUGAGAUGAGUUUGAGGUUAUUUUGAUUGUGGGAAAGCUAGAGCUCAUUAUGUUCUCAUGAACUUGGCAUCCGAUUCAAAUUGGAAGCACUAUAAGUAUGUAGUUCACGAAGAAAAUGUUGCAUGUUUGGAGGUUAUUGUUGAAAUUGUUCGUAUGUGUGGUCCAAAUGUUGUAUAGACCUUUUAGCGUAGUUCACUCUAACAAAAACUUAAAAUACAAUGUGAUGUGCAAGCAAGGAUGCCAUUGGCGUGUAUGGUCUUGGCUAAUAUCAAGCACCGGAUAAUGAAAACUUUCAAAUGUUGUGCAACCGAAUACUUGUCGUUCGUCACAGCCGAAGCGAGUGCACGUUCAGUGUACAGCAAAGUACCUUGGGUAGCGUAUCCUAGGCAUUAUCCGUAAAGACAGCGAGACAUCAGUGCCCAUCCCUUGUGGAGUCCCAUUUUCGCCUUUAGUGGGUACCGUGUUCAAGUAUUUAAAGGCUUGGCCGGCGAAGCAAUACGCCGUUGCCCUGCUUUGGGGGGACUGGAAGGAGUCGUAUGGCAUGGUUCCUAGGAUACUCACAACUAUAUCCUACUACAAUCCCGGGGUUAAAUGGUUCAUUGACUCAUGUGGCAUGAUGUAUCCUGACAAUGAAGUUUUGAAGGAUAUAUUCCAAAGGGUAUUUGCUUUGGGGGGACUGGAAGGAGUCGUAUGGCAUGGUUCAUAGGGUACUCACAGCUAUAGCCUACUACAAUCCCGAGGUUAAUUGGUUCAUUGACUCAUGUGGCAUGAUGCAUCCUGACAAUGGAGUUUUGAAGGAUAUAUUGCAAAGGGUAUUUUGGUGCUUCCCUCAAUGUAGUGAGGCAUUUUAACAUUGUCAUCCUGUGAUACUUGUGGACGGUACAUUCUUGACUGAAAAGUAUAAGGGUACACUAAUGAUGGCAGUUGGUGUAGAUCCAGAACAGCAGCUUGUGCCUCUUGCUUUUGCCUUGACUGAGAGUGAGAAUAAUGAGAGUUGGUCAUGGUUGAUGAAACUUGUUCGGUGACAUGUACUUAUACCUUCACGGCAAGUGUGUAUGAUAUUUGAUAGGCAUAAUGGGCUCCUAAAUUGUGCGAAGGACCACAUGGAUGGUUUUCCACCGCUUGUGUAUAGGUGGUGCACGAGGCACUUUGCUGCCAACAUGUCGCGUCGGCAGAAGACCGACCGCGUGAUUGGAAAAUUGAAGACUUUAUGCAAGGUUCAUACGGAGAGAGAAUUUAGUGAGAAGUUAGAAGAUCUAGUGAAGGACUUGAAAGAUGACGCAAAAGAAUGGUUGAAGGGUGAAAUGGAGGAUAAGGAUAAAUGGGCGCAGGUGUUCGAUGAGGGAGGGAUGCGUUGGGGUAUUAUGACCACGAACUACUUGGAAUCACUGAACGUUGUUUUCAAAGGCAUUCAAAGUAGGUCCAUCUCUGGAAUUAUUGAAUACUCAUUCGAAAAAUGCAACGCCUACUUUGUGGACUGAUGGUUUUGAUGUGGACAAGUCGAAAAAUCGUUACUCGAAGUGCCACAAGAUCAUUAGGAAUUCCACACGCCUCAAUAGAAAUUCUAAUGCCACGAAAUCUAGGACGAACAGUAAUAGGCUACGUUCUUCCAACAUGAGGGUAGACACGUUGCUCGUAUUUUGCAUGGUUAUCAUUAUAUCAUUUAUUGAUAGUAAAUUAUCACUGUUACUGUACUAAUCAUAUAAUGCAGCUUUUUACUAACGAAUUUUGUUUGUUGUUUAUUUAGGAUGGUGGCCCCAGCGUACCCGCUUCUUGAGUCCACGUACGACUUGCAGUACCGCGUCCACCACCUCGCCGACCUACAGGAGGUACUACAUCAGUUCUGCAGUUAUAACGAAAGUUAAUAGAUUCUUGUUGAUUAAACAAUAUUUGGACAUGUUAAACAAUAUUUGUAAGCAUGCACAUUACAAGUUCGUACCAUUUCAAUAGGCCUCCAUGUGAAAAUUUAUGCUGAUGAAUGUGUACCUUAGGAUGAGAAUUGCGAGAUUUUUAUAUGAACUGUUCUUAUUAAUGCUUGCUAAUUUGUCGCAAUAGUGCUUAACAUGCCUUUUCACUUGCAUUUUGAAAAUUGUCGUUACGAAAUUCUUGUAAAUCGAUGCUAAGAUUGUCCCUUAAUAUUUGCUUGUGUAAUUCUCAACUGACAUGAAGUUUCAACUUCAAAACGGUGAUGACAAACACCAUUGCAGUUUGUUGUGUACAAUGUGAAUAAUUUCAUACUGAAAAUGUCAUUUAUAUCAUAUUUGUGUUACUUAGCACUUUAGUAGCCCUUUAUUCGUAUAGUUGAUGAGCCCUUUAUUCUCAAAUGCAUUGACUUCUCAUUUUUGUUUGAAACCACCUUUUUCAUCAAUGUCUAUUUGCUUGUUGGUAAGUAAUAAUCUUAUAAUGUUUUGCAGGAUUUGAAACCACUAAGGGCUAGCGUGCACUCACCAUUUAGGUGGAAUGAGCGGUACGCGCAGUACCUGCAAAGAGCAGGAUUUUUGGAUAUUGCGGUUCAGGUUGUCGCGGGUGUCCCUCCAAUGGACGGACCGUUGUUGACCGCUAUGGUCGACAGGUGGCGUCUGGAGACUCACACCUUCCAUCUCCCGUUCGAAGAGAUACCAUCACGAUGCAGGACAUUGCUAUGAUACUUGGUCUUCCACUGGAGGGGCAUCCAGUGACAGGAAUCAUACAGAACGAGAAUUGGCGUGACAUGGUAGCAAUGCAUAUUGGGAUUAGGCCGCCAGAGCCAGAGGACGGAGCCAACUCCAAGAAGACUUUUGGUGUGAGCUCUGCAUGGUUGAGGGAGCACUUCAACGUUUGCCCGCAGGGAGAAAUGACGAGGUUGUGCAGCGAUACGCUCAUGUUUGGCUAUGGCACUUUGUGAGCACAUUCCUCCUUCUUGAUACAGCCGGGAACACGGUGUAUUGGAUGGUUCUCCUAAUUUUGGGUCAGGAUUGGGACAACAUAGCACUGUACAGUUGGGGCUCAGUGGUUCUCGCCUGGCUGUACAGGCAGCUAUGUGAGGCUUGCAGGCACACUGCGAGGGAUUCAAAUGUUGGAGGGUGCACCUAUAUGCUGCAGAUCUGGAUUUGGGAGCGAAUGCUCGUGGGUCGAUCUUGCCGUCUCCGCGUCGAUGUAAGUUAUAAUGGCGAAUUCCCUUUUCUGCUUUAAUGUUAUCAAAAAUGUUGUAUCAUUGCAGCCAUGGCAUCGAAACGAUGCUCAUCCCACAUCUAUCAUGUGUGGAAGCAUGUGCGGCCCGUUUGUGGCAAUCCGGAUAGGCGCUACAGGGCCUACACAAACGAGUUGGAUGUUGUCACGCAGCACCAGGUAAUUUGCUCACCAGAGUUUUUAAGCUCUAUUAUGUAUAAUGACAUAUGAAAUAAGUAUUGUGUACAAUUUUUUGAAGGUUGAAUGGAAACCGUACGAUCGUCAGCACCUAAGCCAGAUCGUAUUUUAUGUGGGAAGCAGUGUGGGAAGCCACGCUUACCAAUGAACAAUCAACUCUGGGUAUAUGAUCUCGUAAAUUUUGGAGUAAUAAAUAAGCAAAAUUCUUUCCCAAACAAGGGUCGUCCCUAAUGGAGAACUCAGACGAAAUUGGGAAGAUGAGUUCUGAACCAUCUUAUCCAGACAGCUGAAGUGAGUGUGGCCAGCGUAUCGUGGCUUAUAGAUGAGUUCUGAACCAUCUUCUCCAAAUGCAAUGCCUAGGCUGCCACUACAAACAUCUAAACGGAGCCUAGUAGAGUCAAACGUUCAGUGAAUAACUACUCUGCUUGGCGUACAUGUAUUAAUUUUUUCUGCUCUUAAUGAAACCCUAAAUCGGCGGCAAGUAAUGGCAAAAAUCCGUUUUGGCCAUAAAGUUUGAGCAGUUCAGAAAAAAUACGAAAUUUUGAGAAAAAAGAACAAGCACUCCAAUAGGUCCUGCGGUAGUGCAGUACCCUAGCGGUUCCAUUCGACAUUCCUUUCCGACGGUUCCUACAGCGGCGCUGCUCCUCCCCAGACCGGCGGCGCGCCUCCUAGCAAGACCGGCGGCGUGGGCCCUCCCCAGACCGGCGGCGCCCCUCCUUCCUAGACCAGCAGUGCCCCUCCUCUGCAACUUCGUGAAGGUAUCAAGGAUAAGGAUUAAGGUCUUAAGGAAUUAAGGAUUCAUUGAUUCAAUAUUUCAAUUUCAAGGAUUAUUGAGUAUGUGGCUAUGUGCUGCAGAGUGCAGACUGCAUUGCUGCUGUAUGCAUGAUUCAAGGAGUUGUACUGUUGUAGUAUAAAUGGCUUGCUCGUAUGGAUGAUUCAUUGAUUCUAGUCUUCUAGACCUUUGCAGCCAAUACUUCAAUAAUCAGUACUAUGGUCUUUGAGUAUGGAGUAUGGACAGAGUUUGCUAUGCUGUUUGCUUCAAUAAUCAAUACUAUGCUGUUUGCUGACUUGCUGUUGCCAAUUGCCAUGAAAUAUGUGUUGAAAAUGGUCAAAUAUGUGCUGAAACAGGGGAAAUUCUGCUGAAUUUUUGCAAAAACGCUAAUCCGAGCAUGGGUGAUGGAGAGAAUCCGAGCAUGGGUGAUGGAGAGAUGAGCAUGGCUGGUGGAGAGCAUCACAAGGUCUAUAUGACUGUGUAUGGUUGUCACUUCAAUCGUAGCAUGCAUGCAAACUAACUAUAUAUUGUCUAUCUCAGAUAUCAAAUGUGAAACACUAUUGCCGCCUCCAGAUGAUUGGAAAGUACGUUAGUGGAUAUUCACCUAGGCAGACUUACCUAGUGCAUGAGUUGGGAGCGGGCUUUGUGUUUAGCAUGGGAACCAAGAUGCCAUUGAACUCUUAUCUCAUGAAUUUUCUGAUUCGUUGUUUUCGUUGUGAUAAGGAAGCUCUAGAAAUUGAGGAAGGGGCAUUCAUAGAAAUAAGACCCGUACGAAGGAUCUGUAUAAUAUGUCCAAUACUGGGAAGAAACUAGAUCAUGGUGGAUAUCCCAAGUUUGAAGCUCUUGCGUAUGUAAGGACGACAAAGUUCAAAGACCUAAUUAAUACCUCUAUUGCCGACUUAUGGGAUAGAGUGAGAAAGGCUUCUGAUGAGGAUUUUUGUAUCCUUUUCAUGUUGGCAUUACUGAACACGUUUUUAGCUCCUUCCAGAAGUGAAAAAGUGGAUACAAGUUUUUUAAUAGAUCUCAUGGAUCAUGAGAAAAUAAAGGAGUUGGACUGGUACUCAUUCAUUGCCGAUUACCUUAUUAACAGUAUAAGGGCAUACCAACAGCAAAAAAUUAAAGAUGUUCCUGGAUGUCUUCACCUUCUGCACGUAAGUUCAAAGUCAUGUAUAUCUUUGCAUGCAGCUUAUAUGCGCGGACUACGUGAAAUAUCACGACAAAGCACCACGAACUGAUUUUCCACGGAGUAUGCAUAUCAAGGAUGCAGAUCUGAUGUGUGCGGCUAACCAAGUGUCACGUGUUAGCCUGAAGGUAAUGUUACUAAGAUUUAUGUAUGGUUAAGAAAUUCUGUAACAUGUGCAUAUUUCAGUACCGUCCUCAUUAUUUUCAGAAUAGCAAGUCGGCUGACAGCAUCCAUUUAGAGAGCAUGGACUCAUCUCCUCAGAUCUUUAGAAACAAAGCGAGUCUAUGCUUGUAUAAGAAUGUGAUUAUUUUUCAUACUACUCCCGGGGAGCUGAUGUAUGUGCCAAUUGUUUUUUUCUCAGAAAGCUCGUGCAAGAAAUACUGUAACCCAAAAAGCCAGUGCAAGGGUGCAGAAUGCAAAAGUUCUUGAUGACGUUACUCAUCAAGUCAUGAGUGUCAUCAAGAAUUAUGUAGAUGUCAGCCGCGCCAGCGUGGCGCUGACUUGGUGGCGCGCUUGACGCGUCAGACCACCUGGCGCGGUAGCACCUCUCGUACCGCCGCGCGACACCCUUCCUCCUCCUCUCUUCCUCCUCCAGCCAGACCCGAGCAGCACCUCCAACCCGUCGCCUCCUCCCCGAAACCCUCCAAAUCCGGUGAUUUUUGGUGUGGAAAUUGAUCCCCACAUUCUUGGGAAGGUAUUCUCCCACUUUUUUCUUGUUUUACUGUACCAUUUGCUAUAUCGGUGGAUGUUUAGGUGACCUGAUCUUAGGAUGUUGUUUCGAAUUUACUUUCUUAUUUCACUAGCAGCUAGCGGCUCACGUCUCUCCUCCUUAUACAGAGAGAUCUCGCUGUUGGCGACAAUGGUGCUCAGGGUGCUCUAGCCGUGGGUGUGGGUGUUCAAGAAAGAUACAGAUGUCACAGAAUCACAGGUAUGAAUUUAACUCUCCUUUCUUAGAUUCCUCAGCGUUUGCUGACUUAGCUCUGUUUUAUGUGUGACCUGUUCACAUAUACCUGUAGGCUGUACCUCGCGAGGUGACCGGCGAGGAGGCCAGGAACGAGGGGGCUGGCAGUGGUGGGGUCAUCAUUAAUGAUGAAGCCAUCAGGCAAAGUUCAUGAACAAAGACGGAAGCUUUGCCUGGCUUGAGUACAUCGAUUACAUCAACUUCCGAAGAAGUAAUCCAGAGAUGACUGAUCCGGAGGUCAUCGACGAGAUGCUUCGAAGGAGAUACGCUGUGGCUGAUCAGGAGAUGAAGAUCGUGGAGCAUCAGGAGGACGUGAGGGUCGACGAGGCAGCGAUGAAGGCGAGGUUCGAGGACUGGAUGAAGGAGUAUGACAAGACCUACAAGAAUGAGGAGGAGAAGGCUAGGAGGUAUGAAAUAUUCAAGCAGAACGCGAUCAACGCCGACAAGGCUAACGCGUCAGUCCCACAUGGUGCCCAUCAUGCACCUAACAAUCUUGGGGACUGACCAAGGAAGAAAUCUAUCGUCUGCGCAGCCGUCAGGAUGACUUUCCCUGGGAGUCCUACUUUUGUAGAAUGAGCAAGAUGUAUGCUGAGGGUAGGGUAGAUGGCGUUCCAGGAACUGUAGAUGCUCAUCAAGAGGUGGAGUGCACCGAGGCUGUGAAGCAGGUAUACUUCCCUAAUUAUCCGCACAAGUAUCGUUGUUCCUUAAACAGAAAUAUGCACCGGUAGCCACAAUCAGAUUUUUUUUUCCUAUGGCAUGCAUGUUUAGGAUGCAGACAAUCAGAUCUUGUCAUUCCCUUAUUUUGAUUUAGAAUUGUUGAAGUAGUCUUUUAAUUUUUCCAAGUGUUGAUAGUUACUGAAUUGAACAUUUGUAAAGCAGGCAGGAACUAGUUUGAUUUUCAUCUCCUAGUCAUUAUAUAUGCAGCAGUAGCUGUGUACCAACCGCACCAUAGGAGCACUGAACGUUGAACGAAGUCCUGCUGGGUUUUACUGUUUACAUGAACAAGAAUGCCCUUUUCUUCAGUCUAACAUUCAAGCAUGUGUGUAGGCGAAAGAGUCAUUCAGUUUCCAAUUAGCGAUUAGUUUCUGUAUUGAUCAUUUGAGAAGCAGCUAACAGCUCCUACGAUCCCUCACUGCUCUUUGCAAUUUGUCUCUAGCAGACCCCCUAAUUAUUGUUCAUUUUUCACUCAGCUGCACCAUAUUUCUAUUUGGAUAAUUCUGUAAUUUCUAGCAUUUUGGAUGAGAACAGUGCUACAGGGAACUAAAAGCAAGGAAGGCCAAACAAGACGCAGCCGCAAGGAAAUCCGAGCAAACCGCAGAUGCAGAUAAUCUCUAGCCAGAGACAAGGUAUUUCAAAGCCCUAGUCGAUCUUAUCCUUUGUUUUGCAUCCAACAUGUAAGGUUCUGAAUUUCUAGGCCUCGUGUGAACAGCUCCAUUCCUUUUCCCCACAAAACAUAAAAUCUUCCAAUUUGCACGAUCACUUGUUUGAGCAUGUCUACAGAGCAAUCCAGACUGGUCGAUUAGUCUUGCACUUGCAUUACGAGGUUAAAUCGUGUGAACUAAUAUUAUCAGUACAAUAUGUCUUCUGUUGCUUUACUUUCUUUGUAAAAUUUUCCUUUUUGUAAUAUAAUUUGCACUCAUCAGACUUGAGGCUGAUUACCUACUUCUUGUCGGAGUUUGCUUGAGUCUAAGCAUUGCAAACAUUGCUGGCUUCACCAAAUAUAACAAAGGUAUCUCUUUAUUGAGCAGUUCACUUUCUAGUGAAGAUUUCUUGGUUGAGUUAAUUUGCUCUGAACUGAUUGACCUCUCAGAAACUGAUGAUUGAUUCAGAUAGACAGUAUGUCAGUGUUUUCUAUCAAAACUAAGUAUAGUAGCUUCUGAAGACAAUGAUUUUCAAUUUUACAUGACUUCAUUUCGUUCGAUAAUGUGCGAGACAGUCAGCUUCUUUGUUUGUUACCUUAGAAGUUUGGCAUGUUACAGGAACAGAAUUUCACCAGCUAUUAUGCUUGUUCAAGAUCAUCUCUUUGAACCUUCACUGUAGCGAUCUUGUAUUACAUAGCAUUCUGCUGUUAUUUCUUAUCAAAGGUUUAGGCCCUCCUUUACUUUUCAUCUCGUACAUGUCUCUAUUGUUGUGGAAAUAGAACUUUUAGCUUGAAAGUUUGCCACAACUUGGUGCAGAGCACGACUUGCACCAAGCAAAAUCUAACAUACUCCAUUGCUAUUAUUAUUUUGCAGAUGCCAAGUAGAACAUUCAGGCGUUCGCUCAAAAUGCGCUCGCUUCCCGUGUCACAUCACCGCUGCAAUCAGCAUUCGGAGUCAUCUGAAAUCCCACAUGGAGCCAUGGAGGUGCUUUCCUCUGAUUGCAAGGAUGAAAAUUAUUACUGUAGUGAGCACUGUACUUGUCUGAAACUGGUACCUGAUGCAGAAAUGCAGAAGUGAUCAUUUGUAACCAUGAAUUUUUUUAUUUCUUCUCAUAGUUUGAUUUGAUUCGCCAAUGAAGAUAGUACGAUAGGCCUAACUACUGUACAGGUCUGUGCUGAAGAUAGUGAUGAGAAGGCAAACAUGCUUCACUGCUUUCUAUUUCUUUUCAAACUAAAAAGAAAUAACAAGGCACAUCAUACUUCCAGAGGUUCAUGUCGGGCUGGUCUUCGUUCAUCGUCGUAAUCACAGAGAAGGAGCUCGCAUGUCUCAAGUGGCGAGUCUCUACUCGAGCUCGCAGCAGACUGUACACAAACUCCAUGAGCUUGUCCUUGCACGCCGCAGGCUCCUCGCCUCCUCGCUUGGUCCUCCCUGAAUCUGAUGUGGGCUGUGGCCUCUGGGCUGCGCGAUCCUCCUGCGAAAUUCCGGAAUUUUGAAACGGGUAGGAGCAGCAAGGUUAAUCGCAGCCGAAGAUGAUCGUGGCCAACGCCGCCGAUAGAUCAUGCUCUCGGACUCUCACCGUGAACCGCCGCCCCGCCGGGUACUCCGAUCUCCUCUGCCGUUGUGGUCCGAUGCCCGCGCGGCUCAGAGCAGUGGAGUGGGGCUCUCGUGGUAGAGCAGCGCCUGAGCCAAGGACGUGCCUUGCGCUUCCGGCUGGAACGGAACCUAGGGCGGGCGGCGGCGGCGGCCGUCGGUGCCGGAGGCGGAGCCGACCAGACAGGGUGCUUUAUGCAAAUAUACGUUCAGGUAUUUUGCAAAAGGACCCCUAAUUUGGAUCGUGAAUAAUAAUCGCGAUCCAAAUAGGGGGGUUUUAUGAAAAUAAACCAAUCCAUAAUUUUCAAAAAGACCCCUGAUUUGGAUCGCGCGAUCCAAACCAGGGGGUGUUAUGUAAAUAUUCCGGGGCAGCGUCAGGAAAGCCGAUGAGCCCGCGCUGCCGGCGGCGACCUCCGCCGCACCGCGGCAAUAAAUCCCGCACUAGCCUUCGGAUCCCACUUGCCUACCCGGCCGCUGCCUCCGCCUCCCCUGGCGCUCCGCUCACGGUGCUCGCUCCUCCGCCGCGUGGUUCGGUCGCGGCGGCUGCAGCUAGGCGGCUAGGCCAGUGCCCAGUAGGCCUUCCCCUGCAAUCCACCUGCUUCUCCUACUUUUUGACAUAUCCUAAAUCUUGAAAAGGCAGAUAUAUGCUUCUAAAAUUACUAGUCCGUGAUCUCAUCACGAGUCGAUGGACUCUGAUUCAAACUAUACGAUUGAUCAAGAAUCAUGAAGGGCACUACAGGAAAAUGACACAGCAAUAACCAUGAUGAUGGCAUGGCAUGAUAGUGCAUCGUUCCUGCGCUCUGCACACACCACAUAUAUGGGGCUCAAUUCCUUGCCACAAUCAGGGCGCGUUUGGAGGAGCUCCGGCCGGUUCUGGCUCCUCCUGACACGUUCACUGUUGCAUUAAAAGAGUCGGAGUCAGAGGAGCUACAAUUUAUGGCUCCACCGGCUCCUCCAAGGUCUGUGAGAGGGAGGAGGAGAGAGGAAAUCAGCUCUCGUGAACAGUAUCACUACAGUGCAUGAACAAUAACAUAUUGGUGAAAUUGGAACUAGGAGCUCCACCAAGCUGGCCCUCCCUGUUAUUACUCCUAAACAGUUACCACAACUCCUAUCCCGCAUGAGGACAACUUGAGCAGCAAUCUGGCCUCAAAUAGCAAGCGGCCCGUAUGGCCCAAAGUAGCAUUUAGGAAGGCAAUUAGAUCAGCAAAGCGCCAAAUCAAAACGCCUAGCAAAUAUGCUGAUUUUGCUACUAACUAGUAGAAGAAUUCGACAAAAAGUUUAACUGUAAUAGGUCUCAAGUCAAUCGGCUUCGCAGCUUUAACCCAAAAUCUUGCACUAUCCUAUCGAACCAUCCAUCACCGGUGUGUCGGAAGCUGCUCACCGCGAAGGAAUGUGUUGAUCAGCGUCAACCCUUCGGCAGGCUUGUUGAGGGGCACCAGGUGGCCUGCACCCCUGACCGUCACCAUGCUCAUGCCCUGGUACUCCACGAACCUCCCGGCAACCUGCAUUCCAUGAUUCGCUCCUCAUUUCAGGCUUUUCAGCUAUCACUGAUCGCAGAAACGUUCAGUGUGCAAGAAGUUCAGUUCAGACCUGUUUGUCAAGGUACCAGGGUUGCCACUGGGUCUUGGUCGGCAGACCGAGUGCUUCCACACAGUACCGGGAGCCAAUGACAGGAACCCUUCCAUCCGCGUCACCACUGCAUGAUAAAUACAGAGAUUUAGACUACGGAGAUGGAGAGUGAUGGAUGGGUGUUAAGCAUCUUGGUGAAUACUUGCUGUAAGAUUGCAGAUUUUCAGUCUUUUAGAGCAUGUAUACAAUUGUGCCUUCUGUGAGUACAGAAAGGAUCACACAUUCACACCUGUAGAGCCAAACUCUGAGCCCUGCUUUGAUGAGCUUCGAAUAUAUUGGUAGGACCGAAAAUACCGAGAAAUUGUAGGAAUUCAGGAUAGAGUCACUGCAUAAGAAACGAGCUUAUGUUAUAUUUUGUGUGGAAGAAUCGUGGGCAGUUUUAAGGCAAUCUACCUGCAGACAUGCCAUUUCCCUGGAAGCAACCCACUGAUAUUUGCAUGGAAAGCUUUCUGCACUUCCUGCUUGUUGAAGUAGUCCUCAGCAUAGGAUGAGUAGCAUGGAUCAUAGCCAGAGAACAUGUGUAUCCUUCUCCUGAAGUGCUCCUGGCAUUCCACAGAUGAGCAUCACUUUCAGAAGGAUCUCUGACCCGGAACUGCCAGAAUUAAUGUCUAUAUUUCUUUACCUGAUCAUUCUCGAAGAAUGCUUGAGCAGCAGAAGAUGGUGAAGUCUGAUUUAGAAGGCACUUGGGGGCAUAGAUGUUGUAUAUGUCGAUCUCUCGGUACUGACUAUAGACGAUGUCCAUGGCGGCACUGCAAUCAUCAGACCAAUUGGAGUUCUUGAAGUUGCAGUACUUUUUGAUGCGGUCGUACACUUCAUCCGAUACAACUGCAUGGCUCCAGGCAUACUCAGCUAGCCCUUUCGAGUCAUAGUAAUCGUUAGUGAUAGGGUUGCCAGCCUGCAUUGAGUCCAUUCUGAAUGUUAUGGUCGUGCAAGAAUUGAUUUCUUAAGCCCAAAACGUGAAUCUAAUUCUUGUUUCCAUUCUUUCAUGGUUCACGUGCCCAUUUUAAAUUCUGAAAAUAUGUAUCUGCAACAAGUAGAAAACUUAUCUAGUAUCCCAAAGAAACUUUAAGUGUGUGUGUGUGUUCUUCUGGAUCAUUGGAUGUUUUAGUUCGCAUAAUAUUUCAUUCCUUUCAUGAUUGAGAAAACUUCUAAUCAAAAUGCAAUGUUUUUGAAAUAUUAUGCACUAAACAUUCAGAUUUCAGACCACCAGAAAACAUCCUAUUCAAGUUCUGUAUCUUUUUCUAUCAUGAAACAACUUAUUUAGAAUAAAUUUUCAUGCAUCAUAAAAUCUAAUUUAAACCCUUACAAUGAACCCCUUGAGGUUGAUAUAUGCUUUGCCCUUCUUGUCCAUGUUCCUCUCAUAAACAAGUUCAGCAAGUUGUGGCACAUAAUGACCUGCAGCACACCGAAGUCCAGGUUUCUUCUUCAGUGAUGUACAGACGACGUUUUGCAGGCAUUUCUCCACACAUGCUGUUGCCAACCAAUGUGACCCAUGAACCUACCACACUAGUUCUUUGACCACUCUUUAUAGGAACAUAUGUCUGGAGAUCCAACGAACCACUCAAAAACCAAAAAACUAAAUGAUAUGCUCAUACACCAAAAUGAAUUUUUGUACUUGGUUUCAAGAAAAGUAGAAAAACUAAUUCAGUAUGGGUACCCUUUGUGUUCUCAAAUUCAAAAAUCCAAGCAAAAAUAAAAAAUAAAAAUUGGCCUGUCUUCUCUGUUCUGAAGAAUUGGAUGACAGUCAGCAUAUUGUGCGACAUGAAAGCAAAGGCUGAAAAUGAUGCCUAGAUUCUUUCAAAGUGCUGCUUUCUGAUCUGGCAUUUUCUCUAGCUUGUGUGAUCUAUUAUUCUCUUAGGAGAUGGUGAACUAUGGGUUGUCGCAAUCGCCAACCCAGUGGAAAGCCAAGCUGUCAACCCGUUCUAGAAAGUAACCGAUGGUUUUUCUGAGUGGAAGUUCUAGUUUCUGAUAAGAUGGUGACACUAUCUUGUCAGGCUCAGGCAUACUUGGCAUAUUGAGAAACCCAAGCAAGAACAGAAACACUUGGCAUAUUGAGAAAUCCAAGGAAGAAUAGAAGGUUGGUGAAAGUCUGAGCUGCUGCCUUCCUUUUGGAAUGUGGAAAAGAAGGCAUAUAAAGCUACACUCACAUGCUUCACACCAGAUUUUGUGUGUUCUGGAUUCCUUCUAGCACAUCUUCUACAUUUCUCAACAGAAGUCCAGAAUUCCAAACCAAUGCAAGGCUGCAUAAAAUACCUGCAUAGCUCUCUCCUGCGAACCAUGUGUCCAGAAUUCCAAAAGAGCAAACCAAGGCUGAAACCUUUCAUGGUUUCAGGUAUAAAAUACCUGCAUAGCUCUCUCCUGCGAUGUAGAACCCUCUGUCCUUGUACUCCGGAAACCUCUCUAGCCAGUUCAAUAGGAAGCUAUAAGCAUCUUCAGCUAAAAAAAAGGUUACACAAAAUCCAUUUCUUGAUCAGCAACCACAUAACAACCGAAAUUCAAUAGAAACGCAAAAUUUAAUCUUUAGAAGAAAUGUUGUUUUAGGGUUAUUUUUAUAGUAAUAAAGGGUCAGGCAAAAAAUUGUUUUACGAUCAAUUUACCUACAAAGUCAUCAUUCAGUUUGUCAAGGUCAGAGGAUUUGUUGGUGUAGGAGAAGCCAACCCCGACAGGAGACUCCAAGAACAGCAGGUUAGCCUCUGGCAAUCACAAAAAAAGACUUAGCAUCGCGCUUCAAACAAAUGUAACUGACUUUGAGCAUGAAAAGAGAGCACCUUUGUUCCAUGCGUAUUCAUUGAACAUGAGGCCUGCUCCUUGUCUGACAACUCUGAGAGGCCCCAGCUCAGAUGCAGCUCCAUAGCCAAUCGACGAGCAACCAGGUCCUAAGUGGUAAUAAAAGUUAAAGCUGCUCGAUAACAAAAGCACGAAAGGAGUAAGAACAGAAGUGCUAACAUGAGACAAAGAAAAAUUCAGCAAAAUUGUCAGUAAUAAAUAUAAAUACAAAUGAUCGCAAAUACCAAGAACAUGAAUCGACACACAGAAGGACAGAGCAAGAGCAAAUGUACCAUUAACCAAUUGGCAGGCCAUCACUGCUCAACAACUAAAGAAGCCAAGAACAGUGGUAGCAGCAGUACAGUCAGAAUCUCAAGGAGUAGUAAAAGAUCACUAGUUUCCAACGACCAAUGGAGAUGAAAAGCUAGUUGAAGUUUUAACUUCUAAAGGUAGUACAAGGGAGACCUCCGUUGAGCCAGAGGAGGAGCGGCUUCUCCUCCGGCGCCGUCUGCGCCUCGAAGAACCAGUAGAAGAGCGCCCUCCCGUGCCGCUCGUUCACCGUGACGUAGCCGGCGAACUGCGACACGCUCGGGGUCUCCGGCUGGCCGGGGAGGCGCGCCACCCUGUCGGCGUCCCGCGAGCAGGAAGAGAAGGCGAGCAAGGCGAGAGCGGAGACGAGGCGGAGGCCGAGACCUGCAGCUGCCAUCGCCACGGGUGGUGGCCUGGUGGGAGGAGAUGGUUUGGGCACCUCGGAAUGCGCAACUGGAGUUCAGGUCAGGGGUUGGGCCUCUUGGUCUUCCUCUGCCCAGCCGCAAUUUGUACACCCACCCUUCUUCCGUUGCAAAAGGCAGAGUUUAUGGCCUGUUAAAUGGCACACUGGCUAGAGUUUAAUGAUGAAUUGUUGGCAACUUUCUCUUGACAAUUUCAGGUGUUUGCUAAAUUUCUCUUGCUUCAUAAUUUCCAAUUUUAUUUAAAUCCGUCCGAGUCAAAAUUGAAAAAAGUUUGGUUAUAUUAUAUCCUUUUACACUUGAGUCACUUGACACCUUAUUUUCUUGAGCGUAAAGGGGUGAUGUUAAGACUACACCCAAUAGGAGUAUCAUGCACGUUAAAUAUCUGUCACGUAGAGUUUUUCUACUGAUGUGUCAAGAAAAUUAAGCAGAGAGAGAGGAAGCGGUAUAAUCAUUUUUAAUAGGUACUGAAAUGUCCAUGUAAAAGAGACAUUCUUCAUCAUGCAAUUUGGCCUGUUCGUAUCAACGUUGUCACGUGUUGAAACGAACGGCAUUAUCAGAAAUCACUCCUUUGACCGUAGCACAAACCUGAGGUAGACGCAAUUAGACUUGGCACAUUUAUUAUUCCUUUGAAAAUGGUUGCGUCUACAAUAAUGCCUAUUUUCGUGCAAAGAGGUCCACGGUAGAGUGGAUGGACAAACGUAACCCACCGUGGCCUCCAAUUUUCACUAUGCUAAUCUACCACAUCACUUCAAACUUUUUACCAACUGACGUGGCGUGCUUACAAGCCUCCAAUUAUGUGUCGUGUCUCUCUGUCAGUAUCAUCGUCAAAGCAAGCAGCAGCAAGAGAGGAAGAUAAGACGUACGCCGUCGGCUCACACAGUAGUAAUUGUUUGUCGUGGGCUUGAGCGUGGUCGACCCAAAUCAUUAGCCCAUGGGAGCUAUUAAGGCCCAUAUGCGCAAGAGGUUCGUGUGCAUGACACAGGUGGUGAUGCCCGUCAGCCCGUGUUGUUGCCACUCUGUCUCGCUGACGGUGUUCAAAACGAAAAAACACGAGGUCUUGAGCAUUGAUUUCUUUGUGCUUUCUUGGGUUAGGAUGCUCAUGCAUCUAAAAUAAUUGUGGGCCUCCUAAAAAAGAGGCAAUCAUAUCAUAAACUGACCAUGAAACUGACAUGUCGCCGGUGCGUCUAUUAUAUCUGACGACCACAUUAUGCCUCGACGACAUGCAUACGUAUAGGUACUGAGCGUGUUUGCGGCCUAAUGCAUGCAUGCGAAGCGAAUAAUCGAGCAACUCUGUCUUGAUCUAAUCUUAUUCUUCUCCUAAUUAGACGGCGCUGCGCGAUGUCGUCGCUAUCGCUCACGUUCUCUCCUCAUCGGCGGUUCGCUUUCUAGAGGGGAAAGAGAUUUUUUAAAAAAAGGCGUCUUCUACGUAGGAUAAGCGUAUUUGAUGGCCAUGUUCCAAAAAGGCGACGAGGCAGCUGGUACACGUAUGCAUGUUACAAGUGUAGACUAAAGCAGUGUGUAUGCGUUCUCAUUUCUCUUUUCUGCGGGGUCUCCUCCUCUCACAGUGUGUAUUAUAUCGACAAUUGAUAAGAAAAGAAGGAAAGAUAGACAAAAUAAAUCAAGGACAAUUAUGCAAUAACAUCUCUUCUCAUUCAUGUUUAAUUUACACCUUAAUUUGAUGAGCAUCUACACAUCAGCAAUACACUUUUAAGCAAAAGUGUUAUAAACUUUGCCUGUUAAUUAAUUGAAAAUGCUGCCGCCUGCCGGCCUCUCCUUAAUUUUGUUUGAAGAGGGACAAGAGACUUCGUGCCUACAAAUAUCAUAUAUAUAUAUAUAUAUAUAUAUAUAGUGGUUAAAAACAUUUUCAGAUAUAUUGAAAAUAUUUUUUAUCAAAUCAUUUUGUUGUGCCUGCAGUUUCAACAAUUAAUGCCAGAAAUAUACUUAAUCAUCAAAUGUUCAAAUAAAACUGAGUUUUUCAUGUUUUGCAUCAAGGUAAAUUGGAUGGAUGUGGUAAGUGCCACGUUUAGCGAUCAUGCAUCACUUAAUAAACUGAAUAAAAAUUAGUGAGCUUAAGUGCACAAGUGAUAGGGCCAUGGGGGCCAUGGCAGCUUUUUGCUAGCUCUAACUAGCUAGUGUGCACUCCAAUUAUAUCCCCAAACGAUAGCUAGGUUAAUUAGAUGCAUAGAUAUGUUGCCGUGGAAACCAGAAACCAAGACCACAGUAACCGCACGAACACACUCAGAAUUCAGAAAAGUCUACUAUGUCUAGGGUUUUAUUUUACUUUGCCCCUAUUUGCUACUCCUCCGUUCCAAAUUCCCUAUUUGCUACUCCCUCCGUUCCAAAUUGUAAGUCAUUUUAAUUUUUCUAGGUUCAUAGAUAUUAUUAUGCACCUAGAUAUACAUUAUAUCUAGAUGCAUAACUAAAAAAAGCUAAAACGACUUACAAUAUGGAACUAAGGGAGUACAAAAGAUUGGAAGCUAAUAAGGUUAGUUAAUGACAUAGGAACGUCACAGGAAUUAAGAGCAUCAGGAACAGCUUUUAUAAAGACAGUGAGACAAGAGACAAAAAGAGAGGCUAAACUACGAUAUCAUUUCACAAAUCCUUCUUGUCUAGUAAAGUUGGUGUCCUCUGACCUUACAUUAAUCAGCUUCUCUAAACCUCCUCCGCCGUCCAUGCAUGCGUACGUGCAACAGAAAAAGGCAUCAUCCUGCCGUGAUGUUCUUAUCAUCUGACAUUUGUUCCAAGAAUCUAAGAGAUAAAUUAUGCAGCACUGUGUGUACGUGUUCUACUAUAUCUAUUAAGCUAACACUUUGAUCUUAUGUGUCUUUGGAUUAAAUUAAAUUAAAUUAAACUAGCUAGCACACUACUUAAUCUGUGACAUGAUUCAAUCAUGCACGGCGCCGAACGGAACUGGGUCCUGUCUGCCAAUAAUUCGGUACUCUCUCUUAUUACGUUACGUACACUGACGAAUUGAAUUUCAUUUGACCAUCACCUGUACUGGUAGUUUAUAAAGAUCAGGUGGCGAGUGAGCAAGUGAUGAAGUGGACGGCAAAUUAUGUAUGUUGAGAAACAUUGCACCUAUCAUGACGAUAUAAUUAAGAGGAUAAGCCCAGCUGGUUAAAUAUCAUUACGGUAUAACUAAGCUGCAGCAUCAGAUGCUCAAAAGCUUGAUCAAACCAUAUGCUAAUACUGAUUCAUGCACGUAGGUACAAUCAGAGACACUGUACAGCAUGAAGCAAGCAUGCAUGGAUGCAUUAUUGACGGUUGUUCACUUUGUUCAUGCAUGGAGCAUUGCACCUGCACAACAUCAAUGUCUCAAGACCAGCCCCAAUUAUAUAUCUAAUUGAGUUUGUUUUGUUAGUUAGGCUAUUAGGCAGUAGCUGAUGGAGUAUAAUAUGUUGUCACCUAGCUAGUGAUGUGCUUGCAUUAGAGUACUUGAUCACACUAAAGACUGUUUGGGAAUCUGUUGGUGCAUGUGUGUGUUCUUCUCUAUAUUUCUAACAUGUAGGGUACACUAGAUGUCGUUGUAGCUCUUCUACAGCAAAAGGCGGAUGCUUCCGGCCUUUCUGUCUGCUCUAUCCAGUUUUCUUUGAGGAACUGUGUGCAUCCACUUUGAUUAAUUUUCUCAAUUUGAUGCUCGAUCCGUUAACAAGGCCUUGCAAGCCUAUUCGUGAUCGAGUUGACAUGGCAGUGCGCCCAGUCCAUGCAGGGUUCACUUUACGGGUAAGUCGAAAAAACAAACACGAUUUAUUGAAAAAUAACGGAUAUAUAGGAAAUAGUUCAAAUACAUUUGAACAGAAAUCAAGCACGCUAUAUGAUUUUUAGUACUGCUGGAGUUGCUCUUAAGGCGUGGGAAAAAGAAAAUUUGUGAGACCAUCAUGUAUUUUUUCGCCCACUGAAGCUCGGAUCCUCUACAACGACGUCUAUGGCUCUCUCUCCGUUUGCGUGCAUACUCUGGCAAAUCGAUCCUUUUCGAAGCGUCAAACACUCGAACAUGUUCUAUGUUUGUGUGGAUCAAUAACCUGAGCUACGAGGCUACGACAGAUCUGCCCAUGUAUAGCUGGCCGGAAAUGAAGCAAAAUAUCUGUCAAUGCAUUAUUGUGUCUCAGAAAACACCAACACUAAAUAACUCUGCUAGAUCUUUGGUUAUCACUUAUGUGUGCGUAUUAAUGGCUUUUAAGCAAGUAGGCGCACAAUUGGCCAAGUGUAGGUGUGCCACGUAUGUGACCAAGCACACACUCACUUUUUUCCCGGGAGAACAUUUUGAACAAACACACGCUCACUCAACACAUGCAUAUCAACUCACACCACCAGUCCAUCUUCAAAGUUAGAUUUUAACCAUUGUUUUCUCAGUAAUGUAUAUCAUUUAUAGCUAGCUUAAACAUUAAUAUAGAACGUGUCAAAAUGGUAAGACACACUUUUACUUUUUAGAAUAUAAAUCUAGUAAUUGUAGCAUAAUGUAUGGUAAUUUCUAUACACUAAACAUUUUUUUGAUAAUUUCAGCUAAACAUAUUCAUAAUUUGUUAGUCAAAAUAUAUGUACACAGUUUGACUUCUCCAAAACAAAAUACACAUUAUGUUUUUUAACAGAGGAAGUGCUUUCCUUACAAUCAGAUCUUAACCAAUUUAUUAGGACACUGGCAUGAUGUCUAUAGGUUGAUAUACUUGACUACAAAUUAUUUAAAAAUGUGUUGUUUCAAAUGAAGAGAAUUAUAUACUAUGCAAGUAUUUUUCUUGAUAAUAGAGGCAAAAUAGUCAUUUUCAUCCCUCAACUAUCGCCCGAAUGGGAAGAGAAUGUGAGGGUGUAUGGUUUAUUAUUGUACCAACCAGCUAGUGUGAAUAACAUAGUGAGUGAUACUCCGUACUUAAUUGUUUUGAGUGCACGUCAUCUAUCAACAUUGAUAUUGUGAAUUGACUGUUUGCCGUCGACAAAGGAGUGAAGGAUGCUGAAUUCUCGUCAAGCCAUGACCUGUUGGUUUCAUAGGUUGCUCUAUCAUUCUAUUGCGUUGGACCCCAAAGGGCUGGUGAACGGUGACUGCUAUCCGAACGAUCAUGGGGUUAGACAUUGACAGUGGGGAAUUAAUUGGAUAUUUAAAUGGUCUCCUUAGUGGGCGAAUAGAUUAUUGAAUAUGACAUCGAAAUGGUGUUGAGUCAAGCCUUAUUAAUAAUGUGCCGAUGAAGUAUAUAUGUUUUUUGCCUUUGUACCCAGUGCUUGUUUUUGUGCCCUUAACUUAUUUUCCUGUAGUAUUUUCUUAAGCCAUAAAAACUGACAUUUUCUCAUUUUUUUAGUUACUACAUUUGUUUUUAAAUAUACGAAGUAUAUAUGACAAGCUAGUUAAUUAGUUUAGCUUUCUAAACAUUAUAUAUUUAAAAUGGAGAGGAGUGAUCGUGGCCAAGUUAAAUAGUUGGAGUGGCAGAAACAUGACGACAGCUGGCAGACUCACUUUGGUCAAAUCGGUAUUAACUGCUCAGCCGGUUUACUUACUAUCGGCCCUCAAAGCGCCCAAAGAGAUACUGAAGAUUAUUGAUGCUAAGCGAAGGAAAUUCCUAUGGGCGGGGACGGAGCCGCUCACAGGCGGGAAAUGCAAAGUGAAUUGGACACGAUCUGAUCUGCAAGGCCUAAAAGGGGAGGAGGGCUAGGUGUGUUACACCUCGGAAAAUUCUCCAGGGCCUUGCGGUUACGAUGGCUCUGGCAGGACUGGAUGAAUGAUGGUCCUUCCUGGGAAAGCUAGGACAUCCCUUGCUCCCAAACGGACCGCAAACUCUUUGCGGCGGCAACCAAGAUUACAGUGGGAGACGGCAACAAGACUUCCUUCUGGGACAGUGGCUGGGUAAAUGGACAAAGGCCAAGGGACAUUGCGCCAAAUCUAUAUCAUAUCUCCAGAAGGAAGAACAGGACACUACAUGAUGCAAUCGCAAAUCACACAUGGAUAAGAGAUUUAAACCUUCUUCAUCAAGGAUUUACUGCCACAUAUUUCACUGAGUACUACCGACUAUGGGUUGAGACCAACCACCUACACCUUACGCCAGGUGUCCCGGACACCAUCACAUGGAAAUUCACGCCGAAUGGGAAAUAUAGCACACAAUCGGCAUACGGAGUACAAUUCAUAGGAUCCAUGACAACUAAUCUCGAGAACCUAAUCUGGAAAACAUGGGCACCAUCAAAGUGCAAAUUCUUCAGCUGGUUAGCCGUGCAAGAUAGAAUUUGGACAGCGGAUAGACUCCAGCGUUGGGGAUGGACCAGUAACCCAACCUGCGCCCUUUGCAGCACAGCGCAGGAGACAGGGUAUCACCUUUUCGCCGACUGCAGUUUCACACGGCUAAUUUGGACGGAAAUUAACACAUGGACGCAAUGCCCUAACGUUGAUCCAAGCUGUUGGGAUAGGCACGACUCCAUACAUAAUUGGUGGAUAGCUACGCUGGCUAGCCCGGUGGCCGAGGGGAACGGGGGGAAAGGGUUGCGAACCCUAAUUAUACUCGUUCUUUGGGAAAUCUGGCUAGAGAGAAAUCGGAGGGUCUUCCAACACAAACACAAGACAGUUACCCAGAUAACCGACAGCAUCAAGAACCAAGCUGUGAUGUGGGUUGCUGCGGGAGCUAAACACUUGGGGGACUUUCUCUCAGGUUGAGUGUCCUGUUUUGUACUAGUUGUCAUAGCGGAGUUCUGCCUCCCCGUUUCGGGGAUGCGAGUGUACAGCUUGUAUAGUACGUUUGUAUACGGCCCGUCGGGCUUUUCCUCUCUUUUAAUAUAGCAGCAGCUUUCCUGCUGGCUCGUUUCAAAAAAAAAAUGGAGAGGAGUACUUUAUAAUCGGUUUACUUAACGAGAACAUCCCACAUCCUUCAAAGAAGGGAAGCAAAGUCAUGUGCAUAAGAAGAUACACUUUCUUUUUGGUUUACUUGUAAGUGUGGAAUCGGAGGGGCAUACUCGUGGGUGUAUUAGUGUGUUACAAUUAAAAAAUGUAUGGCAAUACAAAAUUGUAUUCAUAUAUAUUAGAUAGUCUGCAUGUGAAACUAUGGCACUACGAGAUGUAUGUGUGGAGGUGAUUUCUUUUGUUUCAAUGGUUACAACUUAGAACACUGCUAUAAACAUCCUCGAUCAUCACUUGUCGGCUCCAAACUGUACCAUCAGUGUGCUAAUGAUCUUAGAACAGCUGGCAGUGGGGCAAUUAUUACUGCCGGUUCUAGAAGUGGUAAUAAAUCCAAUUAGCACUGCUGGUUAAGGUUAUCAACCGGGAAUAAAUGAUUGAAAUUUUAAAGAAAAAGGUCCCAAGCUCAAUUUACACUUGAAGUAGGAAUCAAGAUCUCCACUUGAGGAUGAUUUUUUUUUUAAAAAGGAUUCAUCGUGUUCAUCAUUUGAGAACCCGGAUGAAAACAAGCAAGAGACAUGAGGCAUGGUAUGAAUUGGCACCAAAGGAGAUGGAUUGCACUUGGUUUUGAAGAUGCAUUCCGAGUGAACAUAGCUGAUGAUGAGGAGAUGGAAGAACAAGUGGAUCUAGAGUACGGGCAUGGAGGGGUGCAAUUUAGAGGUGCUACGUCUCGACGGAUUUGGUCAUGGGAAAGCCAAAAACGCUGACAUUUUGAAGGAGUUUGCCAUUGUGGAUGAUCUCAUGGCCAUGGAGGAGCUCGCAUAUAUGAUGGUGAGCACGGGCAUGAAUGCCCCCGAUGAGUGCCUCCAAUAAUCAUAUGUUCAUGUGGAUUAUUUUGCAGUGGAGGUAGGGGAGAGGGAGAGGAUUUCGAAAAUGAUAGAGGGAGAGAUAAGAAUGGGUGGGUGAGAUCAGGCUUAGAAUAGAUCAAGGUUCGUCUAAUAAUUCCAGUUCUUGGUCUUUCCUUUUAUGAAUCGGUGGCAAUGCAUUAUUACUGAUGGUUUUAAAUGAACCGAUAGUGAUAGGCCGGCUGCGAUCCUUAAUUUUCUGUCGUGUCCACACAAGAUCUUUUUCUAGCCCCACACCAAUUUACCUUUGAAUUAGACUCUGAAAUGCAUAAUGCAUUAGAUCAAAUGAGAUGAUGUGUGCAAGCAGUCCCAAGACUCAAAUGUGAAAGGGGUUGGAAGGUUUAACAAGAUUUCGACGGUCAGCCGCAGUCGGGUCAAUGGUGUGCUCCCCUGCGCCCGCACGCUGCAGCCAUUUGAAUGGCCUCGAUUAUUUAAGAACCUGUUACAGCUUAGGGAGAGAAAUAACGGCGACAUGUAGAGAGAGCAGCAGAGAUGGCGCUGGUCUUUCGCACGUUGAGAGAGAUUAACCUACACUUUAUGGUCAGGCACACACCAGUUCAAGUCAAGAAGAUCAACAGGCCAGGCCCAGGGGUCAGCAUUUCAAUAGGAUUCUCUCUCUCUCUCUCUCUCUCUCUCUCUCUCUCUCUCUCUCUCUCUCUCUCUCUCUCUACCCAGACGUCCAUAUAAGCAGCACCACCCUCCCCUCACUCCCAAGGCCCCUACACUACACACAUCUCACUCAUAGCUAGUGUGCAUCCGUCCCUCUCCUCUCGCCUGUCACAUUUCGCGCAUUGCACCGUCCAAGCUUGCACGUACGCUCUCACAAGACAGCACGCCGUACCAACCCCAGGCCGCGCCAUGGUGGUGCCUUCGACGACGCCGGUGCGCCAAGAGACGGUGGCGCCGCAGCCGCCGCCGCUGUCGUCCCACGGCGGCGGCAUACCGACGGUGGACAUGUCCGCGCCGGGCGGCCGCGGCGCGCUGUCGCGGCAGGUGGCGCGCGCGUGCGCCGAGCACGGCUUCUUCCGGGCCGUGAACCACGGCGUGGCGCCGGGCGCCGCCGCGCGGCUGGACGCCGCCACGGCGGCGUUCUUCGCGCUGGCGCCGCGCGACAAGCAGCGCGCCGGCCCGCCGAGCCCGCUCGGCUACGGCUGCCGCAGCAUCGGCUUCAACGGAGACGCUGGCGAGCUCGAGUACCUGCUCCUCCACGCCAACCCGGCCGCCGUCGCGCACAGGGCCAGGUCCAUCGACGCCGACGACCCCUCGCGCUUCAGGUACACGAUACCCCACCCACGUAUGCUCUCCUCCGCUGUGCAUGCGCAUACACGUGGCGUACACAUUUGUGAAAAAUAUUGAGCAAUAUUCUCUAAAGUUUAGAGACGAGCUUACUCGUGAAAUAACUAUUGCUAAUAAAUAAAUGCGAAACCACAUUUAGAGAUCCAUGCUAUGGUAGCUAGAGUGAAAUCCUUUACUAAGCUCCAACACGAAUCUCAAAGCUGAUUCGACUUACGCAUGUUAUAUUUAGAGCUACCUUUAGACGCACAACGUUGUCAUUUUCAUCGAUUUGUUCUUCUUAUUAUAAAUACAAACAUUUAUAAAAAAAAUAACGUAUAUGCAUGACAGCUUGGUUCAUCGGUGAUUUAUGCUAGGACUCGUGGUUUUAUAUUAAAAGCUUAAGCUGUUAACGGCGUACGAUAAGGAACAAACAGGUGUCGUGAGGUGUUAAUGUUGAUGGCACCUGGAGUGACAUGCUCCCCUGCACUGUGACUGCAGUGCUCCUUAACCAACAGGCUAUUCCGAUGACAGUAUGAUGUGGUUUGCAUAUCAUAGUCCUACACCUGUCGGAAUGUCUCACAUGAUAUGCUAAGUUCUCAGCAGCAGAGUAUAGUUAGUAUGGGUAGGUUUAUUGGUACGGUUUAAUUUCUUAUCUUUAAUUAAUCUUGUGCCUUGCGAGGAGUAUUUGAUGUUAACCUUUGAUGCAUAUUAUAGUUAAGGGAGCUAGACAUGAUGCGUCCGUGCAUAAAUAAUAGGUUUGGUUUGAGCAAAAAGGAGCUUUCUGCUCGUUUACAAUAUUGGUACUUCGCGUUCAAGAGUCAAGAGAACUUGGGGGGUGUCACGUAUGCAAUUAUUUACUCUAGCUUCCAACUAGCCAUGCUUUUUAUUUGCCUAUCUCUAAUAGUAUAUAUGCAUUACAUGUCAACAUAGAUUCUUUCAAAUGUUAAAAGAUAUCAUAAAAAAUGUUUGUGUAGUUUAUUGGUGUACCUUGGAUUUUGAAGUGUAUAUAUAUUUAUGUGUACACUAUUUGGUUUCCCUAUAAAGCAUCAUUUGAUAGUUGAGAGUGCAAACUUCUCCAACAGACAAGUAGUUUCACAACAAUGUGGGCAUUCAAAAUCAAAACUUAGUUCGAAUAUCUGACUGCUGUUCAAGAAAGGAAGACGUUUAACAAAAGAGACUGUUCCAUGUUACUUUUACCUGUUCUGAAUUUUAGUUAUAUGAUUCUAUCCAUGUGACUGUUAGCACUUAGGGGAUGUUCCUAUCUGGUUCAUGGUAGAACUAAUAUCCUAUGUUGUCAUUGUCAGAAAGGCCCCCAUCAAAUAAAUUGUGCAAAUGCAUGACUACAUAGUUUUCAAAACAAUUAUUAUCGCAAUAAUGGCACAAUUGAUGCCGCAAUAGGCAGAGCAAUGAUAUGUUAGUUCCAACAAUUCAAGAGCAUACAUAGCUAGUUUCUAAAGCAAAAGGAAAGGCACAAAUUGAUGGGACAUAACAAACUUGACAGCUCCACAGAAUGGGCUUAAAAGAUUUUCUGAUGAAAGUUAGGUAUAAGUGUCUUGCCAGAAGAACAUUCGAAAACAGAACAGCGUACAAUCAACUGCUUUCAUUGAACGCUGAAAAAUCAGUUGUACAUUUUGCUUGUGAUAGGGAGAGCCCUUGCCUAUGCUGGGAGAACUCUUAAAUGCCUAACAAUUGACUGAACAUAACAGAUGAGAUAUCUUUAACUAUUUUUGUGCAUUCUGAAUGAGAAAGAUCUCAUCUACACGACACUAGGGGAUAGAGAGCACACAGGCCAGGCAGUGGCCUAAUUCAUCAGAGUUGGUUGAGAGCAAAUAAGAUGAAAGGGACAAGAAAACCCUCCCUCUAAGGUAGUUAGAAGACCCCUCUCAGUGUCAGGUCCCUCUCCAACAAACUAUGUGUAUUUGCAUGUCAAUCAGUCCUCAAAUAUAUGCAGUGCAGUGGUCUUCAAUUAAUGGCAAUACCCAACCACCAACUGAUGCAGCUAGCAACAGAAUGAGUACUUGAAGCACCCACAGCCAUUGGAUAACUCAAACAGCUUAUUCAGCAAACUACACUAAGUUUCAAGUAGAAAAUGAUGUGUUUAGAUGGCCACGGGAUAUACAUCAUAUAUAAAUAUUGAAAUGAAAUUCCCUUUGUUCUCUAUCAGCUAGCCAUGUGUCAUUAAUAUAUUGUCAAUGUUCUAAAAUUCAUAGUAUGGCAGCUAGAAAGGAGUAAGAUUUUAACUGCAUUAUCACAUCAGAAUCUAAGCUUAGGCAAAGCAGUUGGGAAACAUACAAUUAUUGUAGGAUGCUAUUUGAAUUGAUUCCAUGAGAAUUAACUUCAUGAACUAAAGCAAGAAUGCUAGCUGCAAGAAUAAAAUAGAAAUGGCAUCAGAAUCUUUGCAGUAACCAUCUAGCGUGGAAUACAGGUAAUAGCAAGUAGGGCCCCAUAGUAGAGAAGUACAAAAGCCUGAUAGGAAUAAAAAUGAUCCCCAGACCCCCCCCCCCCCCCCCCCCCCCUCCUAAGAGCAUAUCCAUGCUAUCCAUAUAAAGCCAAGCAAAGGAAAGGAGGCACACAUGCAAAGGGUCCUCUUUAUGGUAAGAUGAAUGAGAUGUCCCAGGGGGUGUGUAGUGUCAGGGCAGUGAUGUGUGAUACCAAGCACUGAUGGGUCUAUCGAUGGAGCAGUGGAAAAAAGCAUGCCCAAUCCUGUCGAAAACCCAUUUGCCCAUUGGAAAAUUGGUCCAAAGUUUCAUGUACGUCUGAUCCAGAGCUAUCCAUGCAUCACAAGACCCGAAUAUGUAUAGCAUGUGACUGGAUUCUGGUUCUGCUGCACAGCCCAGAUGCAUCCAUAGCAUCAAGCUAUCGUCUUUUCGAGGCUGCAGCUUUUGAGUUGCUGCAUCUUCACACAUCAAUCAGUCAAAAUCUUCUCAUCUUUCUUCAGUCUCCUUUCUCUGUCAUGCCAUGGCACACAUUCAAUCGAUCUCUGCAAUCUUUUGAUCAAAUUAAUCAUGUGCGCAUUUUAACUCACAUGCUGAUGUUGUUGUUUCAGUACUGUGGUAAACGAGUAUGUGGGAGCAGUGAGGCAGCUUGCAUGUGAGAUCCUGGACUUGUUAGGAGAGGGGCUAGGGCUCAAGGACCCCAGAUCCUUCAGCAAGCUUAUCACAGACACUGACAGUGACUCACUCUUGAGGAUUAACCACUACCCUCCAGCGUGUACCAUUCACAAGCUUGACCAUGACGGCCAGUGCAAGAUGAAGAGCAUUGUCAGGACCAAGAAUGGCAAUGGCGUGAACCCGUCGGCAGGUGCACGGAUCGGGUUCGGUGAGCACUCUGACCCACAGAUCAUUAGCUUGCUCCGAGCAAACGACGUCAAUGGCCUGCAGGUGCUUCUGCCGAACAGUGACGGCAAGGAGGUCUGGAUUAAGGUGCCGGCCGACCCGUCAGCAUUCUUCGUCAAUGUUGGUGACCUCCUCCAGGUAAAGGCACGAACUUACCUAAAAACAAACAGUACUAGAUGGAUUAACUUAAAGAAAAUUGCUUUUAUGAACUACUUAGGAAUAAAAUUAGCAGGCACUAAAACAAGCAAAGAGAUAAGCACUACUCAGCACCCAACCAUUCGCACUAUGCACCUUCCAUUUCAGUGUUUCAAAAAAUAGAUUCUUUACUUACUGAAAACAGGAAAAAUAAAUCCACCUUUAUUUGGUUCGGGUUCCGAUUAGACACCAGCUAUUGCCUCUUUUAUGAAAAGAUGCCCCGACACUGAUAUUUCUGGACACAUUGGACUGCAUCAAGUACAUCUUACCAGCUGACAAGAGUUUCUGCUUUCAUCUUGUUACUACAUCUGAACCUAACAACAACUACUAGCCCAUGGUGCAGCAAUACAAUACUGUCCCUCUGAAACUUGCUUUGAACUCACCUCUCCUUUGCCUUUCUUGUUCCCAGGCUCUAACAAAUGGGAAGCUGGUAAGUGUCCGGCACAGGGUAAUUGCAAGCGCCUGCAGGCCAAGGCUGUCCACGAUCUACUUUGCAGCGCCACCGCUGCAUGCACAAAUUUCGGCCCUCCCAGAGACUAUCACAGCUGCCUCACCACGCCAGUACCGGUCCUUCACCUGGGCCGAGUACAAGAAGACAAUGUACUCGCUCCGCCUGAGCCACAGCCGUCUUGAUCUCUUCCACGUCGGCGAUGAUGAUAACAGCAAUGUCGGCAAAGGAGAACAAGAAUAGGGAGCACUUACUGAACUGCAGGAGGUGUGUGGUGGGGACUAGGUAGGUAGAAUUGUCCCCAAAAUUUUGGCUCUCUGGCUUCCAUUGCUAGACAUCUCAGGCUAUGAUGGUGUAGGGUUGAGAGUCUGCCAGUGUGUAAUAGUAGUUAGCAUUGUACAGAAGUCCUGGGUUGUAUGGUACUGAUGUAUCGUUGCCUGCUUCGGCAGUUUGUUGUCCCCCUUAACUUUUAUUGUACUCUCCGUCCCUCCUUUCUAGUGUUGCCUUUGCUUAAAGAAACCUUUUCUUUGCAUGAAAGUGAGAUCUAACUCAGACUCCAGGUGACAAGAUCAAAAACUUUCAGGCUGAAAAGACUUUAAAAGUUCCCACAAACUACAAGCAAGUUCAGUUUGGGGCACUGCAAAAAAUGUUCUAGUAGAUAUUGACUAUAAUUAAUUCCGUAAACCCAUGCCAUCACAAAUUAGUCCCCACUUGCAAAUAUUAUCAAACUUAAUCCUAUUAUUAUUUGCUAUGAAUAAUGAGUACAUUAUUUAACAGAAUGGACAUAAUUACAAGAUAUGCAAUCGUUACAAAAUAUAAAAAUAAUUAGAUAAAAUUCUCUAUCUUUAGCAUUCUAUUUCUAUCAAGGCAUCAGAAAUCAAAACAAAUCACGAAAUGUAGAUUCAGACAAAAGAAUAAGCCAACGUGUAGAGCUUAAUAGAAAUGGGCGUAUAUAUCGCAGUACAUCCUAAAAUGGGAUUUCGGUGGUGAAUUUACAAAAGCAAGUGCUUUUCUCAAUGAUAUCUCAAUCCAAGUUGGUUUGCUGUCCUCAACAGCCCGUACUACUUUAUGACAGCAAAACAUGAGCAUGAUUUGAUAAAUUCGGUGUAUUGGCCCCUCCGAUAUAGUCACGCACCUACAGUUGUUUACACUUCUACAGUGUGAAUCUCUCUGAUUGAUAAAUCAUAAAUUAAUACUGUACUACAUUAUAUAUGAUGGCAACUAAAAGAAACUCAGUGAUUUUACCUAACAAAGAUGUCAAAUUUAGCUGCAUGGCGUGCAUAUGUGUUGAAAAUUCUUUCAAGAGAGGUGGUAUGCAGUCUUCAGGCACCUCAAGCUCCUACUUGCAAGUUGCAAGCUACUAGAAUGCAGGCAACCUUGAGUUUUCCUACAGCAUAUUGGUCUCCUGGAGGUCAGAAAAAAAGAGCACAUGCCUGAUACGUAAAGAUUCUUGUUUAAUUCUCCACACAGGGUGCCAUAGUCUUAGACUCAGAAGUCAUUAUUGCAGUCAAUCAGGGUAUUUACUGGCAAAAUAUUUAGAAAAAUAAUGUAUAGUGAUUAGUGAAAGAAAACUUGAAAGCUAUUUUAUCAGCAUACACCUGUAACAAUGGAGAGAUCCACCAUACGACACAAGUUUAUGCUGCAUUGAAAAAAUAGCUAUUGUUUGAAAAAGACAUAUUCUGUCUUCUGUGCAAAUUUUGGAAAAUGCAUAAUACUUGGAAGAUAAAAUAUAGCUAUGGAACAAAGGUAUGCAUAAGCUACCAAAAGGAUGACAAAAGAUCUCAAAAUAAAAAUAUUAACAGCACCUGUUGCCUGCAUAGCUGCAGUGGAAAAGCCCACUGAAGGGAUAGAACAAAUACAAUCACCACUCAAGUACUCAACAAAAGUUUGGUACUAUAUCUCCUAAACCAUGCUUUAGGAACGAGUAAUCUACUUCAAAUGGUAAAAAAAAUGACAAUUUAAUUAUUUAUGUUAUGAAGUGCUAGCAAUUAAGUGGUGCAUAGCCAAUAUCUCUGCUGCACAGUAUAAACUAUAGAAGAAACAGAAUUUGUUCUUAGCAUCUGCAAUUAAAAGAAUCCUUGGAUAUUUCAAGCUCCAGUAAUUAUUAAAAUAAAGCAUAAAAAAUAUCAGCAGAACUGCUCGGAAUAUUUGCAGUUAUGCUCAAGCCCGUAAAUACAAACUCUAUCAGAACUAAGUGGGCAGAACACUAGUAUUCAUGCUCUAUUAUUAUAAUUGAGUUAUGUCCUCUAGCCUCAAUAAUUUCAUUUUCAGGAUAGAUGUUACAGCGUCCCUGAAAGAGGAUCGAAGCAGGAAAUUCAAUAUACCAAGGCAUGCCUACAUGAUCGGCUCAUUCAGUAAGAGUAUGACUGUACUUGCGAUGCUCGGUUUGAUGUGUACUUGAUUGGCCAAAAUAGCUUCUGAACCAGAACACACUUCAGUAUCUACUAGAGCCUAAAUUGUUCAACUCCAUUCUUGUGUUCUAUACAAUAUGUACAUGGGCAGAUGGUUGUGUAGCACAUGGAUAUCACGUUCUUCAGAUGGAUAGUUGAACUUGAACUGCAAUCUGGUCUUCUGACAGUAUCAAGAAAAAAUCUGGUCUUCUGAGUUCGGACAGCACGCAGAAAACCACAUUCCAGGGAUCAAUCAGAAAACCAGCAAAACAUUCUACACCUGAAAGAACAGGAUUUUCUAUAAAUUCUAACCCAACCUCAUAUUAGUCAAUAGUCAAAGCUUUGAGGGAACAAUUAGUAGACCCACUAAAAUGAACACAAACCGGAGUCCGGAGACAUAGAGUUUGCUCCCAAGAAUUCGUCGCACGUGCAUAACUAAGACAAAAGCGGCAACUCCAUGUACUUACUUCAUUUUGCAACUGCAGGCCCGCACGAUGCGGAUGACGAUGUUCCUGAAGACGCCGCACUCUCAGACUCCCAGUCCCAGAGUGGCAAGGACGCCACCGGCGGGGGCACAAAACCCACGCCGAGCGAACAACUGGUUGCAGGUCAAUACCUUUACGAACUCACCAACUACGCCGCCGCCGCAGAAACCCAUGGCGCCAAUCGAAGCAGCACCCGGACCUCCUCUCUGGCCGCUUCCGCCGUCGUUUUUUUUCCCUUUUCUUUUUAUUUUGAGAGAUCCGCCGUCGCAUGCGGCCACCGGCCACCGGCCAACCUGUGGAAUGGUGAAGAACCGAAGAUGACGACGACUCGUGCGAAUUGGGCCGAAUCCUUCACUCAAAAGCCCAAACCAAACAUUGAGGGCAACGGCCCUCCGAGUUUUGGCCCGUUAAUUACAAACAAAUAAUUAGACAUUACUAAAAACUCUGAUGCUUUUUGCCUCCGAAAAUAAACUCAUUUCUUUCGUUUUUUAUGAAAACUGUUUAACUAUUAGUUCCUCCAAUUCCAUUCUCUUCGACAGCAGUUUUGCCGAUUUGGCUAUGCUACUAAUAGAUCAACGUUGACUCAAAUCAAUCUUUAUAUCUCUCAUUCAUCCAAACGUUAUAGAUCUCAAAUUCCCUGGUAUUAGAGCUGCUCAGCUGCAUGCUAUUCUUGUUCAUGAACCUUGUGUUAGCAACACCUUCCUUAAUCCAAUAGAACACCGGUGGUAGUUUGAUACAAUAGGUAGCUGAGUUUAUAGGAUACAAAUAUGAGAGGAAUAGAGUUCGGGAUAGGGCAGCAAAACAAGGGAUCGAAGAAGGAUCAGAGGUACAUAAGAAAGUAGAAGAUAAUCUAGAGGAGGAGGAAGAGUCCGAGAGAAUGAGGAAGAGGAACAGAAUGAACAGUUGGUUAUGAUUCUGAAUAAUUCAUUGAUGUCCUCUCCUGUGCACUUCAUGCAAAUUUUUUAUUUUUAUAUUUUUAUUUUACAAUUUUGCAGAAAUAAAUAGGUGAUCCAAAAAAUUGCAGAAAUAAAUAGGCGAUCCAAAAAAUUGCAGAAAUAGACCUCUGCCGUCGGACCAAACAGCAGUAAAGGGCUACCGCCGUCUCAACCGGUGGUAGGAGAAGAUACCAUCGGGUGAAACAACAGUAGCUUCUCGCGUCCGCCACGUCAGCGUACAAAUUCGCUUACCGCCCUCUGAUCUAGCGGGCGGCACACGGUUUGCAGUGGUGCGUGGGACGAGGUUGUUACCGCUGUUCCAUCCGGUGGCAUCCGCUUUCCGCUGGAUCAGCGGGCGGUAACAGGCCUUGCCAAUUCAAACGGCGGGAGCGGGAAAGAUAUCGCCAAAUCAACUAGCGGGCGCUCCCCCACAUCUUUAAAAGCCAUGGGCGGCCGCCCCUGAGCGCACGCACCAUGCCAGUUCGCCUGCCCACGCGUAGAACUGAGCGAGAGAGCGAGCGGUCACGAUAGAAUAGGAAGAGAGAGAAGGUCCAGGAGAGAAGAAGAAAGGAAGGGAGGGAGGGAGGAGAGGAAGGGAGGGGAGGGGAGUAGGGUUGAGAUUGAAGCCCAGAUCUUCAUUUCAUUUGAGGUAUUUUUACUAAUCCCCUAGUUUAGCUUAACUCGUAAUAGGUAGAUGCAAUAGUUGAUGUAGUAGCUAUACAAAGGGUGUAAUGUUAAUUAGUAGAUGAAAUCUAGGUGUUCAUAUGAUAUAUAGAAAAAUAUAAGUUAGUCGGUAUAGUGGAUUUAGCUUAGGUAUUUAUGUUCUAGUAAAAUUAGUUUGUUGAUUUAUUUAGAUAAAUUUAAGAUGAAUAUUAUUCGCAAUGCAAGAGUUAUAUUUUGUAUAGGUAUUUAGAAUGUAGGUGUUUUAGGGGUUAGUUGAAAUUACUACAUUUAGUUAUAAUUUUUGUUCAUGCCGUGCAUAUCUUUAUAUAUACUUUCGGAACAUAGGGGUGUUUAGGGUUAGUUAAGUUUGGUAAUAUUUAGUAAUGGUCUCAGUUAAUGUUGUGUAUAUUGACCGGGUAAAAUAAAAUGAAUUGUUUAUAUAUUUAGAUAACUCUAAAAUUGUUAUUAUUGACAAUGCUCGAGUUAGAUGUUUGUAAUGUAUGUUGAAAUGUAGGUGAUGUUGGGGUUAGGUAAAUUAAGUAUAUGAGAGUAAUAAUAUCUCUUCGUAUCGUGUAUAUUGACAGGCAUAUCGGAAAGUUUAUUUUUCCAAGUGUUCUAUAGUCGGGGGGAGGUUAGAUAUGGUCCAGAAGGGGUAGAUUUGUCUGAAUUUCAGUCGUUCUACAAGUAAUUACCAAGAGUAAGAGAGAGGACUUGGGCUUCAAUAUGUAACUGGUUAUUUAAGACUUUCGAUCUUGAUAAAGAUCAAGUGGAGCUGUCUGUUAGGGUUUACGGCCUGACAUAAACUUUUGGGAGUUGAUGCCGCUUGAAGGAACCCAGAACUGGAGGGUCUAUGUAAAUGGUUGUACUAAGCGCAGUUUACCGCUCAUAUUGUUUGUUGAAGUGUUCAAGAAAAUUGGAUCUAGCAGUCAAAUGUAAGAAGAAGUGGGAGGUGCUGAAGUUAAAGCCGAGGAAGGUGUGGAGAGUAGUAAUGGGAAAAAUGAAGAAGAUAAUGAAGAUGGGACAGAAGAAGGAGAUGCAGAGGAUGAAGAUGCAACUUGUGAGCUAAAUGGCGAGGCUGAUGAGGGGGAAGACAUCCCUGGAUUAGUUGAGCAGGUGGAGAGAAAAGGAGAAGAGGCCAAUGGGAUGAUGACUCGUUGGAUAAGGAUGAUGCUAAUCCUAUUCCGCGGAACUGGUCAACUUGUGACCAUUCCGCCCUACAGGUCAAUGUAGGGACAAAAUAUCCCUUGAUAGUACAGGGAGAAUGAGGUUUGUGUGGGUGCUUUGUACCCUAGUAGGGAUGAGGUGAAGGCAGCUGUGAAGUGAUGGUCCACUUUAUCUUUGCAACGCCGUUCAGGGGUGGUGAAGAGCAACCCAAUAGUGUAUGAUGUGUGUUGUGUCAGAAGCAAUUGCCCAUUUAGGGUGCACGCAUACAAGGGGACGUGGAAGGAUUACUGGGAGGUGACUAGAGUGGUGGAGCACCAAUGUUUGCUGGAUGAAUUGGUUGGACAACACCACACCUCACUACUGAUUUUGUUGCUCAAUACAUGUAUCCUCAGAUAGUGGAGAAUUCUAGCUACGAGCUCAAGUUGAUUGUUUGUGACAUAGAGAAGUUCAAGUAUAAGAUUAGCUACCACAAAGCUUACCGAGCCAAGCAGAAGGCAUUGGAGAUGAAGUGGGGUACGUAUGAAAUAUCGUAUGAUAAUCUCCCUGUCCUGUUGCACACCAUAUGACAAACAAACCCGGGAAGCUACUAUGACCUGAAAGUCUAUCCAUGUGCUCAGUUUCCAGGAAAACAUGUCCUACAGCGGUCAUUCUUGGCCUUGGGUCAUUGCAUUGAGGCUUUUUAGCGAUGUCGCCUAGUCAUUUGCAUUGAUGGUACAUUUUUGACUAGAAGGUAUAAAGUCACAAUCUUGAUAACUAUUGGAUCCGACGGUAACAAUCAAGUGCUGCCACUGACAAUCGCCUUUGUGGAGAAAGAGUCUGGAGAUAGUUGGUAUUGGUGCCUGGAGAGGGUGAAGCAGAUAAUUGUGAAGGACGUGGAGGGUGUUUGUCUAAUUCAUGAUUAGCACAAAGGCAUUCUACAAGCAAUCGAAGACCUACAAAAUAGCAGUGUGGAGCGUUUCAGGGUGGCGUAGUGUUCAGACUUGAAGAAUACAUGUUGCAUGAGGCAUAUGGGGGCAAACUUCCAUAAUCAAUUUAAAAACAAGACCCUUACGAAGACUUCACUCUUCACGGCCCAUGGACCAUGCAGCAGACAGCCCAGACAUGAGGUCCUAACACCUUGCCCUGCACACCCUAAACUACCACCAUUCACAUGUUAAUUACAGUUACAAUACUCAAUUUUCAAUUAUUCAUACCCUAAUUCCACCUUCGCAUCCUAAUUGUAAUGGUGCUAAGAUAGACAUGCGGAGUACAGGAGAUGGUGACGAUGGUGAUUUUUUUGAAAGUGAUGUAGGUGGUUUUCUUUGGCGGCUGUACACCUCGUACCCAAAGAUGCUAGCAAUGUUCAAGCAGAGAUUUGAGAUAGAGAGAGUAUAUGGGAGGAUCAAUUAAAAAAAAUGGAGGGUACUUCCACAUCAUGUUAGAUCAAGUUGCUUAAAAUAUGCAAAAAUUUUGAUGCAAGAAUUACAGGAAGUAAUACUGAACACUUAAAAGACUAUAGGGAUAAAAUAUAAUCGGUACAAGAGGUUUAACUAAACUAAUAUUACAGUUGAGGGAAGUGUUAGAACUGAGGUUUAAAUUAGUACAAUAUUUUUUCAAAAGCAAAUUAGUACAAGGUUGCAACACGGUAUUACAAUAAGAAGUUAGCAUAUGUUAUGAGCGUGGAUUGAAAAAAAAGUAAGUGGGAAACAAAGCCACGCUGGUGGGUGGACCGUUCCGAACCUACUCAUAGCAACGAUUGACUGUUGACCUGGGCUGGACCCGUCUGUUCCAGAUCUCAUUCUUGCUCACAGGGAUGGUCGCAAGCCCAGCCACAUCAGCGACUCAGUGCGUACCAUCCCCCACGUAAAGCCGACGUCACUGCCUGCACCCAUACGCCCUGGCAAAACACAAGACAAGGGCAAACCCAUCAAUUUAUUCCACCCUUCUCCCCGUCUUCCCGAAUCCCAAGCCUCUUCGACUCGCACCCACACCGGAUGCGGAUUCAGUAUCGUCGCUUCUUGAAGGCACGUCGUAACUUCUCCUGCCAAAUCUACUGUGAAUCACGCAUCCAAAGGCUAAAAUGAACUGCAGCCUCAAAUCUUAUCCAUCCGAGCUUUUUCACCAGGGGAGUUCGUCAGCAGAUGGGGGGUGCUGCUCUCCCGCGCGUUACACCACCUCCCACGCACCGCGCUGCUCUCCUGUGGGCUCGUGUGCUACCGUUGGAUAGGAGGUUCCCGCGAGUUUGCCGUGGAGGAGAGGGAUGUGAGCACCGACAGGACGCCAUUGUCAGCUACAUUAGUAAGCUAUUUUCCUUCUCGUGACCUAAGCAUGUGCAGAAUACAACUAAUUCACCUCACAUUUGUAUCAAUCUGAGAUCCCGUGACUAUAAAAAGUUAAUUUGCUCAAUUUCAUGGUAGGAAAAUCAUAUGCUUUUUUGGGCCAUAUUUAUGUAACUAUGAGUGCUGUGAAGGCAAUAGUAAAAUUUGAGAAGGGAACACUUUAGGUUGGUUUAAGAUUUAGAAAUCCGGAUGAGGUUUGGAAGUUUUGGACUGUGUAUGGGGUUGCAGAGACUUUGAUGUGAGGAAAAGGUAUGCAAAUAUAAGCAGCUAUGAUGGUAAGGUAACUUCAUACAGAUUUGUUUGUUCUAAUGAGGGUUAUCGAAGAAAAAGGAAAACAAAUAAUAUGAGAAUUGACUGUAAAGCUAGGUAACCGUAGUAAGCUAACUAAAUCUGCUGAACCGAAAAAAGAAAAAACCAUAGCCGAAAAAAGAAAAAACCAUAGGUAUGUUCUCAACUUGCAAUAUAGAAUUUCUAUAUAUUGUUACCAUUCAUAGCUAAUUAGUGAUACUUUUGUUGGCAGAAACGAAAAUAAAAUGAUGGUGUACAGCCUCCAAAGGAAGUGGAGAAUGACGGCAACAACAAAGGAGCAAUCAUGGACGUUGAUUAGACUUAAUAUGUGCUAGUUAUGGAUUAAUUAGGCGUAAUAUAUUCGGCUCGUGAGUUAGCCUUCAUUUAUGCAAUCAAUUUUAUAAUUAAUUUAUAUUUAAUACUUCUAAUUAGUAUAAACAUUUGAUGUGACCUGGAUUGAAACUCUUAGUCAUGAAACUAAGGGGGUGUUUGUUUCUUUAGCACCUUCUAAAAUUCCUAUCACAUCGAAUAUUUAGAUACUAAUUAGGAGUAUUAAACAUAGACUAAUUAUAAAACCAAUUGCAUAGAUGGAGAUUAAUUUGCGAGACGAAUCUAUUAAACCUAAUUAGUCCAUGAUUUCACAAUAUGAUGCUACAGUAAACAUGUGCUAAUGAUGGAUUAAUUAGAAUUAAUAGAUUCGUCUCAUAAAUUAGCUUCCAUCUGUGUAAUUAGUUUUAUAAUUAGCUCAUAUUUAGUUUUUCUAAUUAAUAUUCGAAUAUUUGAUGUGACAAGUUUUAUAAUUAGCUCAUAUUUAGUUCUUCUAAUUAACAUCCGAAUAUUUGAUGUGACAAGGUCCUACGAACCAAACACCCCCUAACACUGAAGGCAUAUAUCGGUACUGACUUGAUAAGCAGAGAAGGUACGCCGUGCUUUAAGAAGCAAAGCGCUGAAUCUGUGUCCACCCGCACCCGCACCCGCCCCCACCGUCUCGAGUCUCUCGACUCCUCUUUCCCCUCCCCGAGUCCGUGCUCGGCUCGUCUCGUCGCCGCCCGAACCCCUCGCUUUGCCCCCCCCUCUCGAAGUCUCCCUGCUCCCCAAACCCUAGCGCCCUCCCCGAUCGCGCCCCGAGCCCCAUUCCGGUACGAUCCGAUCGGCCUUGCGUUCCUCUUUUCCGCGAACUUCGUUUGAUUUUCCGCGAUUUUUUUGGCUUAAAUUUCCCCCCCUUGGUGGUUCGGUGGGGGCGUGGGUGCAGCGGGGGAGGCGGCGAUGUUCUUCUCCGGUGACCCGUCGGCGCGGAGGCGGGUGGACCUCGGCGGGCGGAGCAGCAAGGAGCGCGACCGCAAGGUGCUGCUCGAGCAGACGCGCGAGGAGCGGCGCCGGCGGCAGGGCCUCCGCCUCCAGAACUCAUCCGCCACGAAGAUCCAGGUCUGUUCACGACUCGCGCCUGUGCCCGUGGGGUGCCUGGGGAGUAGGUGUUGCAGCAGAGGGAUCGGGCGGGGGUUUAGCUAGCUAGCUCAGUGUGAUGGGCAUUGAGAUCCAGCUAUGGCCUUUUCAGCGUUGAUGAAUGGUGAUGGUUCGGCUGGUUUAGUUUUGGUGGAUACAGGUUCUGUGUUAGGAUAGAGCUGUAGGCUUAUGGGCAAUUGGGCAUUAAGGAGGACCUCUAGCUUGAGCAGUUGUAGCGAUUAUGUGAUAUACAUUGGCUCAUCUCCUUUUCUGUUUAUCUGAUGAGAUGGCCCGAGGGGAAUGAAUUAAUGUGUCCAUACUGCCUGUCAACGCAAGAUAUGGAUAGCUGAUGACAUUGCGUUUGAAGAAAUUUUAUCUACUUUUGAAUGAUUAUGCGGGAAAGUAUGGGAAUCAGGGGGUGCGGUGCCUACUCGACAAAUUCUGGCAAUUUCCUAUUGGUUUGCUGGGUGUGAUGAGGCAAGUGGAGAGUGGAGGAGGUUCAUGCUGUGUUCGCCUUGUCAUUUUGUGUCGGUUAAUGGUAUGCCCCCCUUCUGGUUUGUCGAGCUUUACAAUGUGAGGGAAACUCCUCUUCUUUGCCUUUGUAGGUUAGGCUAUGUGCAACGCCACGAGUUGACAUGGCGAUUAUCGUCAAUCACCUGUUUUUGUUUACAAUGGUGGACAUUGUCAUGGGAGAGCAUGGGGGGUGCUCUUGAGUGACAUCACCGCUCGAGAAGGUGUUUCGUACUUUGAGGGUCCUGUGGAGUUGGGUGCUACUAAUCAGCAUAAAAGAAAAUUAUAAGAGAAGAUUGUGUGCAAGCAACUGAUGCUUAAACAGCCUCUUAUUUUGUUAAACCAUCUAAGCUCACCUAUUAAACAUCUCCUGUUGGAAGUUAGGGCUCUUUUGUAGGCACUUCAUCAUGAUGUAGCCAGUAUUCUCUCUUUAAGUGUCUAUGCAAGCAUCUUUGCAUUUUACUUGCCCUUAUGGUAUACCAGAUCCCAAUAUCAUGUUGAACCAUCAUUGACUGUCUUUAAGAGAAGAGCCGCUCUGCUACAUUUUCCUUAUAUGCCCCUUGAAAUGAUGAUUACAUUCUGCUUAAGUACACAUACUUGAGUUCACAAAAUAUGGAACUUGACUAAUUAUAAGCUGCAGAAAUUCUUCAGAAGUAAGAAGGCUUUGGAAUUGGCACGUUCAGAAAUUCGGAAGAACUUUUGCUCUACUUUCGGGGAGCAUUGUGAGAGGAUAGACUGGUAUGCAUCGUCUAAUCCUAAAGAUACAUCAUAUCCCUUUCGUUGUCAAGCUCUCUGAUUACCUUGCUACUGAAACAGGAAAAACUUUGGCACUAAUUCUGACUUUCUUCGUCAAUUGCUGUUUUUCUUCAAUGCAAAUGAAGACAAUGAUAUUGCUAUACUUUGUCAAGUCUGCAAUUUGCUGCUGCAAUAUGUUAAACGUGGUGGUAAGUAUCAUAAUAUUAUUUAACAAUGUUCCCCCUUUUUGCCACCGCAUGCAGAUAUCUCAUUGUUAUUUCUUAGAGCCUAGAUUGCCCUGUGCCAAAAUUGAAAUUUUUGAGUUGUAUCUGGUUUAUACUAUAACCUAACAAAUUUAAGUAGGCCAAUUACUUUUGGUGUAAGGUUUUAAUUAAGAACCACAAAAGGAAAAUAGAAUUAAGGCAUUCAGGUGUGCUCUUGUUCUGAUUUCGAUUUACUCCUUAAUCCUGCUCGUCACAAAUCACGAGAGAUAGUACAAUGAAUGCUAAUUUGGAAGAGGAUACAUCAAAAUUUGUGUUGAUUUCCAUGAUGGAUAGUCCAAAUAUUAAUUUGGAAGAGCUAAUUUGAAUAGAUACAUUGAAUGACAACUAGGUAAUAUGGUAUGAAUUUGCCCCAUUAUGUUGUUCUGGGUUAAUUUUCUACCAAGCCAUGACAGCAAAUAUGCACUCCGUUUAAAUUUUACUAGCUAAUAAUGUUCGUACUUAACAGAAAAGAUUAUGCCCUUCCCUCUUAUACCCUCAUUAGCUAGGUAUUGACUCUAUAUAUUGGUUUUAGUUAUCUCAUUUGCUUAUUCUUUUUAUCCCUAUUCGAUACUGGGAUGGUUAGUGUCUCUUUGUUCCAUAAGUAAAAUGAUCUUCUGUUUGUGUUUUUAAGUAACAUGUCAAAGCUAAUCUCUCUAAACUUUGAUAUUUGAUUAUUUUAUUGCAUUUUUGAACUCUUUGGACACUGGAGCUUUCUAGUUAUUAUAAUAUUUGUUAUGAUUUCCAUUUAAUCUGUGCAUAAUCUUCUCAUUAUGAUAUUCUGUGUUUGUUUUCCUUGUUUCUAUAGCAUCGGCUGUAACGGUAUUUUCUCCAUUUUAUGCAGGAGAUACUGUAACUCUCUUUGCUGGUGUAAAUGACUCCUCACUGCAACCUCUUGUUGCUCACAGAGUAAAAAAACUUGCACUCAUCUGUGUACAAGCAGUCUAUCAAAAGAGGUAAGUUAUGCAAAGCUGGUUUUUGGGACAUUCUUCUUUAUUCUUCAAUUGUUUCUGACCACAUGUUUAAAAGUAUCAUCUUUUGUCUUUGAUGGGAGACUCCCCCACUGUACAUAUGCAAGCUUGUCUGCAGCAAAAAUUAACAUCAUCACAUGUGACUUGUUUUAUGUUUUGGCAGGCAUGAUUGGGGCAGCCAACUUUUGACAACACCUGGAAGUGCAUCAGUGCCUUCUGUCUCAUUAUUAGAAACUGUAGCUUGCUUGAUAAAUCCUAAGCUUCCAUGGAACUGCAAAGUAGUUGGGUAUCUUCAGCGCAGAAAGAUCUAUUGCUUAUUCCGGGGCAUUAUUAUAUCUAUACCGGUAAGUUCUGUCUCUGUUUCUGUGCUUAGUCUUCUAUUUCUCCUCUGCCGUUGUUUGGAUUUUAGCUGAGUUGAUCAAGAUUUAUUAAUUCAGAAACAAGUGAUAAUUGCACUUAUUCAAGGGUAAAUGCCUCGAGUUCCUUCACUUGAUUGAUAUAUAACUGCUGGUUUCAACUCCUUUUAAGAAACAACUCCCUUUCUGUAACAUGAAGCUGUGAUGUUUUGUUCUGUAACACCUUAGACAUGUGACAGUGACCCUUGUGUAACCAUGAGAAACCAAUCGAACCAUGCGUACCAACCAGGUUUACCUUUGUAGGCAAACCUUAUUCUGCCAUUCAUUUGUAUGGUAGGUUUGCGGGAAGAACAUCAUUUGUCUAGUGGAAGAUACAUGAAGUUGGCUGUAAUGAGCAUACUAUACUUAAACGAUUUGUUCUAUGAUUUUUUUUCUGAUGGAUAUGAUCAUGAUUCAGCAAAAGGACAGAAGUUUUGGACAUUUUGAUAGUGCGUCUGCUCUGGAGCAAGUUCUCAUGCUUGUUGCUUCACAUGUUGGCCACCAUCCUUGUUGUUGUCCGGUGGUGGAUCCAAGAUGGAGUUUCUCCUCUCAGCUUCUGUCCAUCCCUUUUCUACGGCAUCGUUUGCCGCAACUCAAGAAGGUCAGCAUUUCCCUUAGUUUCUUGUUUGGCCAUUCCUUACUGGAACAUUCCCAAUAUGACCCACAAACAUAGAAAUUGCAAUACAUUUUGCUCAGUAUCAUCGAACCCAUAUUAUAUGUGUGUGUGUGCUGUUAUGGAGUCUAAAGUCAUACUGUAGUAUUAUUAUCUUAUAUAAACUAUAUCUCUAUGAAUUUUGUGUCUGAGGAAUUAAGUGCCUUGACCAUUUACAAUGGCAAUAUAUCUCACAUGCUUGCCUUUCAUACUCCAGGUUUUCUCAGUUAAUGGACUCAGCAAAUACUAUAUCCAUCAAAUAGCCAGCUUUUUGCCCAGUCUUCGUGAUGUUCUUCCAAAUGAUAUAUCAGCUAAUCAUCCAGGAUAUGCGUGUGUCCUUGCAAAUGUUCUUGAAGCUGCAACCUGGAUUUUGUCCGAUGCAAAGUUUGCUUCUGACACAGUAGGUGUUUUACUUCUUACCUUUUGGGUUUUCUUCUGCAUUUUGUUUAAGGUGAAAAUGCACCAAAAGCAGCUAUUUUUUGGGGGAAAAUGAGCAUUUAGAUCCCUAUCCCAAACUUAGCUUUUAAGGCCUCAUUGAAGAUAAUUAUUUUUUUGGUCUAUCCCUAUAUUAAUUUAUUAUCUUGAUUGAUCAAUUAUCUAAGUCAAAUAGCAGGUUAUUUGUUACUGCUGCUUUUGUUUUCACCACAUAGGCUGCAUGAUCAUAUUAUGUUACUUGCAAACUGUAAAUGUUUCUUUUGUUCUUUUCUUAUGUAUAUAAGAAGAUUAUAAAUCUGAGUUCAAUACUUGCUUCACUUUUGCCCAUUCAGAGUAUAGGCUGCCGUGUUAGCCUCUUUGCAGGUCUGAUCUCUUUAGCAUUCAACAUUCUUGUCGCACUGUCAUGGUUUUUAAAUAAUAUUCAUUUUCUUGCGUAUUUGGUCUAAGCUCUUAUGGAUGUGAGGAAGAGUGCUUCUAAAUUUUUUUCAUAACAUAGUUAAUUUUAGUUUCAGAUGCACGGCUCUAAGGGCAGCAAAAAAUAUAUCGGAAACUAUAUAAUCUAAUUUGGUUACAUAUUCAAUGACACCUUUUCAUUUCCUAUGUUGGUUAUUUGAGUUAUACUGUUUUUAGCAAUUAGCAGGGUCUACUUUCCUCCCUUCUUAAUGGCUCCUAAUAGAAAAACUCUUAUUCUUGUGAUGGUAAACGCAUGGGUGCUGGUUUGUUGUCCACAUCUGUAAUGUUUUGGUUUAUAAAUAUGUUCCAUGUAUACUCUUUCCAAACCAGGCAGCUGACAUCAUCGCUGUUUCUACAUCGUUGUUGGACACGUUACCAGCAGUCACAUCACCUACUGAAAGUAAGUUACAUGCCAUCGAAUUAUAAGAACCUUUGGUCUGUUGGUGUCAUAGUUUACUAGUUUAGUAGUCUAUGUGUUUAUGUAACAUUGUUUUGGUAUCAUUCAGUUUUAUUGGAGGUCCUUGUGAGCUGUGGUUGGGAAAUAACAUGCAAAUGCAGUUCAUUUUACAUGAAACAUAGGUUUUGUGAUGAACGUUUUGUGGAUCAUUCAUAUUACUGGCCAAAUUAUAUAUAUAUGAAUUCUUGAUUAGGAGAAAUCAGCCGUAGCUUGAACCUAGUAAACUAGCAAAGGAAGAAGUGAGAGAGUACUUAUCCCACAUGACCACAGCUCUAGAAUUCAAAUACCAAGGAUUCAGUUUGAGCAGCUAUUCAACUGUCUGAGAGGAAAUGGUAACUAUUCAAAGUUUCUUGGGGCUUAUUUGGAUGAUGGAUUGGGAUUCAAAUUCUUAGAAUUAGAUUGAAACCCAAAAGUAAAAAUCCUUUUCUAAACAGGCCCUAACUCCUUUUCAUCUGCAUAUAACAUGUAUUUUUACUUUUAAAAAAUCAUCCCAGUUAAGCCAAUUACUAGGCUAUUUACUAGGACUAGGCUCCCUGCGGGAUAUGGUUAUUGCAAAACGAUCAGAUUAAUAGGUUAAGUGGGGUCUAAGUAAACUCUAAUAUGUGUUCUCUUAAAAUACGUACAGGGGCAGAUGACGAUGACGAGAUGCCUAUGGAUGUCGAUGUCAAAAAUGGUCUUGAUGUUGAUUUGGAAAGACAGAUAACUACAGCAAUUGAUUCAAAGCUACUUCAACAUUUGGUAUGAAUCCUAAACAACCCGGAUUUUCGUGCCCUUAAUCGUCAUUGGGCUCUGUAUUCUUUUAUCAUGUUUGACCAUAGGUUGUAUAAUGCAUAGGUGAAUGCACUCUUCAGAGGUACAUUAAGCACAUACCAUUCUGAUCUUUCUGGACCAUCAGAUGCUGAGGUGGAUGCUGUAGGAUCUAUUUGUGCUUUUCUUCAUGUCACAUUCAAUACAUUCCCGCUAGAGCGGAUUAUGACUGUACUGGCCUACCGGACUGAAAUUGUUCCCGCACUAUGGAAUUUUAUAAAACGAUGCCAUGAAAACCGAACAUGGCCAUGUUUUUCCAAGUUUGCAUCUUCAUUACCUGCAGAUGCACCUGGUUGGCUCCUGCCCAUGUCUGUAUUUUGUCCCAUAUACAAGUAAGGCAGUUUUCCCUUUUAUUGAAAACUCUUGCUCUCAUUCUUUUCUACCAUCUUAUAUUGUCAAGCUAUUGAAAUGUAGUAAAAUUGCAUUGUAUUUCCUUAUAUGCUUAUGAUGCUUUGUCAUUGAACCCUGUACCAGGCACAUGUUGAAGAUAAUUGAUAAUGGGGAGUUCUAUGAACAAGAGAAACCUCUUUCACUUAAAGAUUUGAAGUCCCUUGUUCUCAUUUUAAAGCAGGUAUAGUAAGGCAAUACUAUUGCUACCAUUGUGUUAUCACGAUGCAUUCACUUCUGGGUUGAAUACAGUAUCUUUUUUAACAUCAUAGCUGUUGCAAACUAGUCACUGAGGUCCUCUCAUGCUUUCUGUUUGGUUAUUACUCACUCUUGGUUUUGGAAGCUCUGUUAUUGGCCGUUAUCUUUCUGGCUGCACCUUAUUUUCAAGCAUGCAAUCCUGUAGUAUGCUGGCAGGGAUUCCACCUUAAAGUCCUGGCAUGUUCUGUUUAACUAAGCUUAUCAAUAUAUGAACAAUAAUAGUAUUACAUUUUCGAACUGUCAAAAAAGAAUGCGUGAAUCCAAGCUAUUAAUUCCACUGUGCGUAAUUUGCUGUUUCGUUAUAUUGGUGACAUUUGACUUCAUAUGUUACAUACUUACAUUGCACCUUUUGUGUUGUUGGUGUCAUCAAUUGAAUUCUACAUCAAUCUGCAGGCAUUAUGGCAACUUCUGUGGGUUAUUCCUUCCUCUUCUACUCUGAAAGUGUCACCCAACCCUUCAGGCCUUAAAAAAUUGUCAGUGGAGAAUGUCAAGACCAGAGCUAGGGUUGGGCUAUCUGAACUACUCACACAGGUUGGUACUCUUGUCUGUAUACCAUCUUGUUUCUUUUUAUAGGAUUUUUUGAACUCUCAUUUUUUGGCAGGUUGUGUUUCUUUUUAUUGUUGUACUAUGAAUUAUACUUCUUAUUUUGAGUCUUGAGAAAAUGCCAACGAUACUGUAGUUUCAUAGGUUAAUUAAAUUGCAACCUAAUUGCAGUUGCAAGACUGGAACAGCCGACUCCCAUUCACUUCUGCAAGUGAUUUCUAUUCUCAAGAAGCAACAAGUGAAAAUUUUGUCUCUCAGGUAGCGAACGCCUAUGCUGUUUGAUUAACUGAAAUGUCUUUCAAGUGUUCUACUAAGACUGUGCACAUAUGUUUUCCCCAGGCGAUACUUGGCAAUACUCGAGCGUCAGAGAUUAUAAAGCUUGCUCCUUUCUUGGCGCCAUUUACUAGUAGAGUCAAAAUCUUCACUGUGAGUUAUUGCUAAUUUACUGUGUAAACAAUGCUGAAUAAGACUCUACAUCUUUUAGGAUAAUGUAUUAAAAUAUUGUUUUUUUCUAUGUGCAGUCUCAAUUGACGAGUUCUAGACAAUCGGCAUCACAUUCUGCAUUUACUAGACAUCGGUUCAAAAUAAGAAGAAAUCGACUUUUGGAAGAUGCUUUUGAUCAGCUAAGUUUGCUUUCUGAAGAAGAUCUCAAAGGACCGGUAUGAUGAUACUCUCUUAUCUUUCCUCAUGGUUUAACAUAUGAAAUGGUUGUGGUUUCCCAAUGAUACUUCAAUCUUCUUGAUGUAUGUAGAUUCGAGUGUCAUUUAUUAAUGAGCAUGGUGAGGAAGAGGCUGGAAUUGAUGGCGGUGGAAUUUUCAAAGAUUUUAUGGAAAAUAUCACUCGAGCUGCUUUUGAUGUACAAUACGGUCUCUUCAAGGUAUCUGCUCUUUUAGUUGGUUUCGUUUGUCUAAUGUGAUGGAAUCAUUGCUACAGUAACACUCAUAAUCUGUGCUGGGACCUGUUGCAUGUUAUUAAGUUAGUAGAGUCCUGGUUCACAAAUAUAUUUAUUUUUUCUUCACCAAACACAAUUGCUCUGAUGGAAUAGCUAUGAUAUACAUGUGUUGGUUUACAGUUUGGACAAGGCCUCACAAGCUUCUUUUGGAAUAUUUGAUUUUCCUUUUGUAGGAGACCGCUGAUCAUCUUCUGUACCCAAACCCUGCAUCAGGAUUGGUUCAUGAACUACACCUGCAAUAUUUCCAUUUUCUUGGAAGUCUCCUUGGGAAGGUAUUUUGGUCAUGUCCCCCUUUUCCCAUUACUAAGCUGGUGCUAGACCUAGUUCCUAGAUUCAUGCAGAAUUGAGUUUGUGGGCUAAAAGAAGUGGUUUGAGUAUUUAUUUUUUGUCUAAAGUGGAAUCGAGAUUCCUUAGCUUCCCAAUUGUAUCCCUAGCUCCAUCUCAUAGAAUUCAUGGAGCUAGGGAUCCCAAGUGUUCCCUACGACUUAUGUUGGCAUCCAAAGUAUUAUUUGAUUGCUUCAAUGGUGCUCCAGAAUUUCUGAGCUCAUAUCCUAAGUUGUCUAGGAUAUGUUUUGUAUAAUGAAGUGGGAGUAUCUAUUAGUCUUUUGGGUGCUGCAUGAUGCUAUCUAUUAUAUAGUUCUCAAUAUUUGCUCCAAAUUUCUCCAAUGGCAUCACAUUUGACUGUUACACAUCUUCUUCAAUUAGUUCUCAUGAUUUGGGGCUUUGGGCUAUGAUCUAUGUCUGAUUCAUGUUUUUCCAGGCAAUGUAUGAGGGCAUACUUGUUGAUUUGCCAUUUGCAACGUUCUUCUUGAGCAAGUUGAAACAAAAGUACUCCCUUCCUCCCUCAUCAUAUGUUGUUAUUCUAUUAUGCUGUUUGUGUUAUACAUCUUUUGUUGAUGUUCGCUUGUGUGUCUGAUCUUCUACUCAUCUAUCAGGUACAAUUUUUUAAAUGAUCUUCCUUCAUUGGAUCCAGAAUUAUAUCGGCAUCUCCUAUUUUUAAAGGUUUGGGCCCUAUUUCCAUUAAUUGGUAAAGCAGAAAACUCUCUGGAGGUUAGGAAGGGCAAUCUUUUCUAGAUGUGCGAUUGGGGCGUGGUUACGUGGCACAAAUCAUGAGCCUAUCUAGCUUUGUAGCUACUAUAGCAACUUUCUUCUUGAGGCAUUACAAUUUUCUAGUUACCAAUUAAUUAAAAAAGGGAAAAGUCCAUUUUACUCCCCUCACCUAUCCACUUUGUCCGCUUAACCCCCUGAACAAAAUUUAGGCUCACUUGACUCCCCUAAACUAUUUCAUUUGGUCCAAUCUACCCCUAAUUAGAUUUUUCUUUUUUGUUUCUCCGUGUAUGAGUUGAAUUUUGAGUUCAAAUUUUGUGAGCAGAUACAAAAUAUAAUGCCUUAUGUUAAAAAACUAUACUAAGAAUUUUUCAUGAUUAUUUUCAUAGGUUAGGAAUAUUUAAUAUGAAAUUGAUCUUAGAUAUACAAAACUGUAUGAAAGGUAAUCAUGAAAAAUUGCUAAUGUAUUUUUAUAACGUAGGGCGUCAUGUUAUAAGUCAACUAGCAAAAAUCUGAAAUUAAAACUCAACUUGUGCGCGAAGAACCAAAAAAGAUAAAUAUAAUUAGGGGGUAGAUUGGACCAAACGAAAUAGUUUAGGGAGCAAAGUGAGCCUAAAUUUUGCUUAGGGGGUUAAGUAGACAAAGUAAAUGGGUGAGGGGAGUAAAAUGGACUUUACCAUUAAAAAAAGCAAACUCGAUGCAUGAUACUGCCAUCCCAUUAUGUGUAGGUUGUUGGGUUAUGUAUAAGAGCAUACAAAGUCCAUUUACAUAAUUUCUUAUCUAAUGUUCAAAUUUGCCCCCCCCCCUUCUAAUUUGUCCUUUUUCCCUGCUCAGCAUUACAACGGUGAUAUCUCAGAACUGGAACUGUAUUUUGUUAUUGUAAAUAAUGAAUAUGGUGAACAGUCAGAAGAAGAACUUCUCCCCGGUGGAAGGGACAUGCGUGUUACUAAUGAUAAUGUUAUUACUUUUAUCCAUCUUGUUGCCAAUCAUCGGUUAAACUACCAGGUAAAAAGAUUAUUGUUAUGUUAUUUGCUUGCAUGGGAAUCCUUUGUUAAAUAACUUGCUUUGACUUCGAUCAUAGAUCCGUGCGCAAAGUACACACUUCUUGCGAGGUUUUCAACAGCUUAUACCGAAAGACUGGAUCGAUAUGUUCAAUGAACAUGAAAUUCAGGUAAUUCAACGGUAACCUUACCACUUCCUCUGGUGAUACUUGGUGUAAUGUGCUAAGUACAUUUCCCUGCCGGGGUGGUGGUGGUUGCUGAAUUGUUUUGGAUUCAAAAUUCCUUUUUUUUUCUUUGAGAAAAUGAUAGAUGGUUCUGACAUUAUCAUGGCACAUUCCUACCUCGUUUCCUUAUUUAUGAUACUGUCUUGUCUCCUGCAGGUUCUCAUAUCUGGCUCUUUAGAAAGCUUGGAUAUUGAUGACUUGCGGUCAAACACCAACUAUUCUGCAGGAUAUCAUCCGGUACGUGAUGCUUUCUUAUGUAACAAGGGCCAUCUUUUUGUUACUCAAAUGUAGCCUAGCAACCUUAUUCAAAACAUGACAUGUGAAUCUGCAUAAUUUAUGUAAUGCUAUAUCAAUAGGCUCAGUUACGUGGUUUUACCCCUAUUAACUUUGGAAGGACCAAAAUGUUGUGAAUAGUAGCAGUGCAAAAAUCUGGCUGCAAAUAUAAGCUCCUGUCCCUGAUGAACUACACAGUUCUUUCAAAUAUAAAAAGGAAGAAUAUUCUCGGUUUCUAAACCUAGCUAUCUUAUCAGCAACUUCUAGCAAGAUGUCUUUCCAAUUAAAGCUAGCAAAAAAAGAAAGUUUUGGCCGUCUAGAUAAAUGGCAAAGUUUCAGCAAAUAUCACCACAAACAGAGCCCAGUUUAGCUUCAAACUAGCUGACAGCAUGUGUUAUGGGCAACAUAUGACUGCAAAAUCCUAUUGUAAGACUCCAGACUCUACAUAAUGGGCUACAGGGUGCGUGGGCAGUACUACAGUGUGCAUGGACAGUACUGCGGGCCUUAAUGGGCCCCCCUGUUGGGUCUACCCGCUGCAGGACUGUAAUAGCGUGGUCCAG